GGCAAAGAUCGAUGAUAUCGAUCGCUAAUUGAGGAAAUUUAAGAAAGAAAGAAAGAAAAAAACAAAAGAAUGAUAUAAGACCAACCAAGGUCGGAUUGUUGCUGGAGAAAGGCGGAGGAGGAGGUGAGAGGUGGCGGAGAUGGGCGGUGUUUGAUAUUUUUUCAGCUUUCGGUCUAUUUGUUGGUGAAAUGAUGGAAGGUAGAGAAAAGGUGUACUUUUCUGAAAGAGGCGUGGACACAAAGCAAUUCUAUAGAUACAGAAAUUAAAAAUAAAAAUGAAAAAAUCGAUUACUUUUCCAAGAUGGAAACAUAAUGAGGAGAUUCCGCUGCAGACAAUUGACCCAUUCGGGCCACACGAAUUAUGUAUCCGAAUCGUCUCGUGCAGACAAGUCCGGUAAUAAGGAGGCUGUUGGUGAGUUGGCUUUAACAAGUCCGAACUCGGCCCAUUUAGUACUUGACAUUUAGGACCUAAAGCUUGGCUACAGGAACAGAUGGAGACAUUUUCAGAUUAGCAUUAAAGAAAUAAAUGUCAAUGCGAGAAACAGAAAGGGGAAACAGAAACUCGAAUUGGAGAAAGGCAAAUUUGUGAAGGGAUUUAUUUUUUAGGUAAAGCAAAAUAACUUCUUCUUUCAUAAGUACAAUUGGUACCGCUAUAUAUAUAUUUUUUCGAAAUCGGACCCAACUAAUUUAAACAAACGCAGGAGUUAAUCGAAAAGCCGGCCCGAAAGCAAUCUAAAGAGGACCCAUAAAGAACCACUGUUCAGCCAAUUGGUAAUUAGUACCGUUAUAUAUCUUCACCAAAUUGGCAAGAAACACAACCAAUAUUUUUUACGUUUUAUUAAAGGAGUUUGGAGAUUUUCUAAUGAAAUUUUCAGUGACAAACUUUCGUUCCGCGCGAAUACAAUAUAUAUAUAUAUAUCAAGUAAUUGGCUUCAUGAUGUUCUUAAGAUAAGUUCCCCCAUUAAAUCCCCACAAUGACCAGACCGAGAAAAAAUAAAGAGAAAAAGGAGUACAGCUUUAGAGAAAUUGAAAAAGAUUGUUUUUCUAUCCUUUGUUUUUCGAUAUCAGAGAAUAGUACAAUACAUUUUCUUAUAAACUAAAAAAAAGGAGAGAUAGAGAGAGGGAGACGAAGAACUGAAUAAGCAUCUACGAUCAACUACCUGAUUGUAUUCAGCAGCCAUAGAGAAUUUAGGCUCAAUAAUUGAUUCAUCAAGAAAUUUCGCAGCUGAGUUACCACCCAAGGCUGAAUUCAUUCUCUGCGGAAUGUUCAAUUCCACAGAGGGCCUCUAAUUAUUACAAACUUGAGCUAGUAAAUAGGCAUCAAAGAUGCAAGUGAGACGAUCAUAACAGAUUUCCACAAGACAGAAGAUGGCAUGCGACCCUUGUCAGUGCGGAAGAAGAGUGCUUGGUACACAGGUAUGUUGAUCAUUAUCAGUAAUCCAGAAAGGAUGAUUGGUGGGAUAAACUGCUGGAAAGCCCUUGAUGAUUCGGUAGCCAAAACAACUCUCCGGAUACCCAAAAGGAAACUGAAAAGGUUCAGGAGUGCAAUUGUUGCUAUGAUAGUAAACAUGAUCGAUGAGCUUCCAAAUUCCAAGAUUUCAUUCUCAUAUCUCUUCAUUACAUCAUCGUCAACCACCUUGGGUGUGAGAACGAAUGUUGUUUGGGAGAGGCCUAGUUGCCUAAUGACUGUGUCGAUGAAGGCAAGGAAGUAUGCAGUGGUUCUACGAAACAACCAUAUUCUUUGCGAGUUCCACCAUGAUUUCAAUGUAUCCCCACAGCUAAGAGCUUCAGCUAAGCCGUAUGCGUAUUUCGCAACAAAAACAUAUGCAAAUGGAAGAAACCACAGGCUUGAAACCUGCAAAUCAACAGGACAGUUUAUCGAAGAUUUUUAUCUAUGCUCCAUAGAACACGUACUUAGAAACGGGAGUUUUGCUGGAAUUUAAUGAAAAAUGCAAGAAUUUGAAGGUUCAGCAUCUACGCACCUCCGGAAAUAUUCGAAUGCCAUGAAGUAAGCAAAGACUAGGAGCAACUGCAUAACAAAGCGUGCCAAGGGAAAUGGGAGCCCAUAAAAGGUAGAUACAAUAUCCCAUUUGGGCACCCAGUUUGAUCUUGCCAUGGCCAUAAAUGAAAGGACAAUACUUGGAUAAGAAAAUCUGGAACAUGCCCUCGGACCACCUCUUACUCUGAACAAGAGAUUGAUCUAAAGUUGUAGCAGCAAUUCCCAGAAAGGCAUAUCUACUUGGAUUGUGAUAAAUUGGUCUCCAUCCCCUGCACUGAAUCGCUAGGCCUGUGACUAUAUCUUCCACUGGACAUCCAUAGACCAAUCCCAUCUGCAAAUUCAACAAAGUUAUCAUUAUUAACUUGUCUUAAUUGUGGCCUCUUUUCUGUAUAUACAUUUCUAUCAAAAUGCAUGUUGGUCCAGUGAUGUGUGUUGGAAAGAGACCUCUUUUCCCCAUUGAGUUCCAUCUUCAUAGCUACAGUUUGCAACUUGUUUAGAUGCUUCUUCCAACUCUUCAACAGGCCUACCUUCGAUUUCAUGUUUCACGCUCUUCAGUUCACUUCUGUUAUCCUCGGAGAAUUUCAUUCCGCAAAGACUUGCUCUCCUGUGAAAGCAUCCAGUACCACAGUAAAGGGCACCACCGUUACCAUCGAUUCCAGCCAGCUCAAUCUUCUCAUGGGAAAUUUAAGGUUUUAGUCUGCUAGAUGUCCGAAAAUGCUGACACAGAAAUGAAUGAGGAUUGAAGGUUUACCUGGUGAACAACUCUGGCCACACUUGAAUAGAUAUCAUGUUUAGUGAUGUUAUGGUAUCUUUGUGGAUAUUGCACGUAGGAGGUUCUAUGCCCUUGUUUUUCAUCCAUAAAGAAGCAUAAUGAAUCUCGAAGUGCAUCUGAAUCAUUCGAGUACAUAUCACAGUCCAAAUUGAGGAUGAUCGGUGCAUUACUUAUUUUUGAUGAAACUCUUAUCUGCACGAAAGUUCGAAAGAAUGUUUGGCUGAGACGAUGCUAAACUUUAAACAGCUCCAUUUUGUAUAUGCGACUCACAGAAGCUCUCAAACAAGGUCUAAGAUUAGCUGCGAAAUCUGAAUGUGCGAAGUGUGCAAAAACAAUCUUCGGAAGCAGGAGGGUUUUAGUAAUAUACCAAUGCAUUCAUAGAUCCGGCCUUGAAGUGGUGUGGCCGUUGUGGCCUUUUCUCCCUGGACAAGUACACCAGAGUAGGCAACUGAUGUCCAUCAAUGUCAACAGAGUUGGGAUUUCUUCUGUCAAUUAAUAUCUGAAAACGUAACGAAGAUCUUAAAUCCUAAUUUCAUUGUGUACCUUUUAGAGAGAGAAGAAUUAUAUCAAAGCUAAUAUUGGUACAUAUUACUAUGACAAUUAUUCUGAUCUACUUCAUGAGUACCUGAACAAUAGACUGAUGAUCAUUCCUUGCAAUUAAGGAAUUCCACUCUGAGAACCCCUUGUGUUUUUCCUUAAUCUCUUUUGGGAUGCCUCCCUCUUCAACAACUGUUUCAAUCCUACUCGCCAUGUCUUCAUAUAAUUUCUGAAGGAAAAACCAAAAAGAAAGAAAAUUUCAAUCUAUCUAGAAAACAGAGGAGGCUAGCAACAUUUUCCCCCCCUCCUUUACCAUCAUUUCAUUAGUCUUCUUCACAAAGAUUCCAUGACAAUCACUACUUGAACAAGUCAAGCAUAAUAAAUCCAACCUUACCUUAACUUUCGACUCCUCUUGAGCGAGAACAAGGUCGUGCGAGUCAAGAAUAUUUCUCUUAAAGUAGACUGCAGGAGCCCUGGGUUCCAGCUUGAACUUCUUGCAGAAGGGCAGCCAAUACUUUGCGAAGUCAGAGACCUCCAAAAGAGCAUAGAAUGUGAAUUCUGAUCCUCCAUCAUCGGAAAGGUAAAUGCUCAAUUUUUCAGGAGGAUAGUUAUAUGACAUGGCCGACAAUACAGUGUCAAUCACCAUAAUUGGCGGCUCAACUACAUGAUCCGCUGUGCAAAUAAAGAUAUCAACAUCUGGCAAUUUGUCUUCGUAUCUGCAACAUGGAAUCAUUGAUCAAAACGCUAACAAACAUUUUUUUCUUGUGCAUUUAAAAAAAAAAAAAAAAAGUUCUUUCUUCCACGCCCCCACGUAGCCAUUUUUUUGUAAGAUUUCUUUUCGGCCUCAUUACAAUCAAUUCCAUGCCCUGUAUACUUCAAAUUUAAGGCUCAUUAACCAACACCAGUGAAAUGAAUUCCUCUAAUUGGUUAGCUUUAAAAAUCAGUAGAGAGGACCUGUCACCUGAGUGAAAGCCUGUCUUUGAAUGGAAUCCUUUGGACAACGUUCCAGCGAGCAGACUGAGUAAUGAUCCAGUAAAAACCAAACAAGAGCUCUGAGACGAACAUGCCAAUCCAAACCCAUCUUCCAGGUUCUCCAACUCCAGGGAUGUACGUUAAUCUGUACAACCAUAUCAGCACUAUGCUGACAAGUACUGUGAAAGCAAAAACUUUGUAAGCUGCAGCAACUGAACCUCCUUCUGCUGCUUUUGUCUCGAACAAAGAACGACCACUGUUUUCUUCUCUUGCUCCAUUUUCAGUGCUCAUCUUGCUCCUUCCACUCCACAGACCACGAAUCUUAUCCCAGACCUCGUUUUAUUGUGAAACUUGCAUAUAUAACGUGUUCAGAUUUUAUUGAUAUUAUUAAAUGUUCAUUGACGUUUGCCACCAGCAGGUCCUUUGUCGUUCACUGGGCAGGCAUUCCAGCCAAUAAUAAUAACCACCGGUUUGGCUCACACUUGAAGUAAAUGGUAAUGGGUUUGUUUGGUAAUGCUUGCACUGUUGUGGAAACAAACAUAUUUUUUAGUUUAUUUGUUUAUUUAUUUUUGCAUCGUCUUCAACAGCCCUUGACCAAAUGCCUCUGAUGGACUACCCUCCAAAACAUCAAUUAUUAUACCUCAAAUCUCCGCAGCCUCCAGUUCUCCACCUCAAGUUUCCACUAUGGUUUCUUGAUUCAAUAAAAUGAAUAAAAAAAAAUCCAAGUUCUCCUUGUGAUUCAUCAUGUUUCAACAAAAACCCAACAAAAGAGGGUUAAAACCAUCGCCAAUCCAUGGCGGACCCAUGGUUCUUUCAAUCAAAUCAGGAUAAGAAUUUAAGAUAUUCUUUGUAUAAUGAUCUAAAUUCACAGCCAAUCAAAUAUAAACAUAUUAUCCCGUAAAAAUCACACUUUACAGUGAAAUUACAAGAUCUGUACAUAAAAACACUCGUUGGUGCAAAUGACAAAAACUAAAAAAUAUUCCAUGAGGUAGUGGUGCUUGAUUCUCUGGUUUUGAUGUUAAAUUUGAUAGAAGAGAAAACUCCGUAAAUGAUAGUAGUGUGAGAAGGGAAGGGAGCAGAGGGAAAUUAAUUAGUUAUGAAGAAUACAACAAAGACCAUAGGAAAAUUUGUGAUGCUUUUGCUCUACUGUUUUCUUUUUUUUUUUUUGGGUUAUGUAAAAUUGUUUCGCACUUAACCCUUCGAAAUCCAUUUGAAAGUGUCUAAUUUGGUCGGAAAUGAGUAAUGACCAUUGUUGGCCACUUCAUACUGGUGGAGCCACACCAACAGAUGCCAACCAAAUAUCCUGUGCGACAUUUGAGAUAUGAAAUCCAUAGAUAAUUAGAUAGUGGCGAUUUCCCCCAACCAACGGGUACUAAUAAGCGCUAUGGAGCCGACUCCAGAAUCAAACGUUCAAACUUUGACAAUAUGUCUUCUAGUUUUGUCCACUACCGGUGUUUGGAAGGUUGGGUUGACUCUCUUGCGCCAGUCCUUUUGAGGAUUGCGGCCACCCCUUCAGUUCAGGGUUGAUGAUAAUUGAAUGGUGGUAGACUAGUUUGGAAUUAAGUAUACGCAAGGGAUAAGGGGCCAGUUUUAGUGAUUGCUUCAAAAAAGAGGCUGGUCUUAGUGACAAGUCAGUUGUCUUUUUUGUCGAGUUCAUCUUGAAUUGGCAAGAUCACGACACAUCAGUCUUUACAGAUGAUUACAGGAUCGCGCAGACAUACGUCUGUGUUGCACUUUGCUACCUUCGGAUACUCCAAAAAAGUUCAUGCAGGUUUGACGCAGAAUAGUUAGCAAUAGAUUACUAAAAGAGCAAUAGAUUGCAUGCAUGCAAAAUACAUAUAAUCUAAAUUAGCUAGUACUAAUUAAUACUGCUACUUGGGCAAAGAACGUUUCUUGCGUAAAUAACCAAGUCCAGGAACAACAUCAAAAAUUGAUCACCGAUCACUGCCUAACCAAAUCGGGGACGCACUUGGAAUCAUGAGCCUGCUGGGUUACAGCAGGUUGCCAGAAGAACCAUCAUCAAAAUUGGCUCAGCUGAUGGUGGGUUCUCUCUUGCUCAUGCCUUCGGCUGCAUGCUGCUAUUGCUGGGACUCCAUCCUUCGCACAGCUUUGAGGGGGCAUUCAUUCACAUCAAUCUCUCUCUGGAGUCUGGACCUGUUCUUCUUCUUCUUUGGCUAAUUCCCUCCUCCCAUGUUGCUGGUGCCACUCUACUUUUUCGGUGGCCAUGACGCUAGCUGCUGAUUAAUCGAUGAUGAUAAUUUUCCUAGCUAGCUGCUACGUCUCUUCCCAUUGUUGUGUAGUGUACCUAUAUAUUAUAUUAUAUAUAUGCACGAUGCUAGGCGGUAAAUAACUGAUGUGUGCUCUCCAUAGAAGACAGGCACACCGCAUCCUAAUCUUCAUUGUUCCGGUGCUUGACAAGUGUUGGAAUACAGCAUCAUCCACUGAAGACGCAUUCUUCCUUCCUUCCUUCCUUCCUUUUUCCUGUUUAAUGUACAAGCUUUUUAAAUAAAUAAAUAAAUGAAGUACAGCCAAGGCUCCUUGAGGAAAAGUUUGAAUACCAGCCUGGUCAUGACCGUUGACAUUGUUUUUUUCUUUUGAUGGUGUCAGCCCGGUUGCCAUCAGGUAUUAUUAUUAUUAUUAUUAUUUUAGCAAUAUAUGAAGGAAUUGGCCGCCUCCAAUGGAUCAUAGCUCUGCAAUUGCCAUUCUCAAUAUUCUAGGCUGUAAUCGAACUGAACUGCUCAUAAACAACUCAAUUCAAAUUCUAAUUGACCAAAUUUGAAUCGAGUUUGAGUGGUUCAACAAGUCUAGCAAAUCGAAUUCGAGUAUCCAAUAAUAAGGAUCGAAGGUUCGUCAAGUCUUAUCGAAUUUUUCAAUUUUAAUUCUUUAUUGUAUUAUUAUUAUUAUGAAAUUAUCCUUGUAUCCAAACAAGUGGUUAAAUUUUUGAAAUGUCUCGAGUCAUACGAAAGUUUUUAAAAGGUAAUAAUGUCUUUUCAAUCAAAAUUACUAAGAGAAUUUAAAUUAGUAAAUCUUUUUUACUCGAAUUUGAUAAGAUUCAUAUUGACUUGAAUCCACGCGAGUUGAAUUCGAAUUCCCAUAAUACUAUCCGUUCGAGCUCGAGCGUCUUUUGUGCAUGUCAAGUUGAGCUCGAGAUUAACUUGAUUCGAUUAUAUCUUCAGCCAAUCAGCACUGAAACCACAAAUGUGCAAACUAAAACAACAAGAAACGUAUCGAAACAGUUGUUGGGCGAGAAAUUUUCAAUAAGCGAGAAAUAUAAGGAGAUAAACGGGUUAUUGGUGCUUGUUGAGAAACCAAACAAAAUCAUGGCCCAAAAACUUGGGCCCUUUCAAGAGCAAACUAGUAGAUCCAACUCCACCUUGUUAGUUUCGUUUUGGGUGUGACCCGUGGGCGAAUGCCAUUGGCGGGGGCCCGCUGCAGAAAUGGAAAGUGCUGGAGCCGAGAAUAAGUUAAAUGAGACACAACAACGAUAUCACGUCCUAUCGUUUCCAAAAAAAAAAAAGAAAAAAAACAACGAUAUAAUAUAACGCGUUUUGAGGAAAUUUCUGGGGGCCCGAACGGGAAGGCGUGCCUUAUCAGAAACGCGGGGCCCGGUCUAGCAGCUCUGCUUGGUCGAUUUAAUCCCAAACUUGAACAAACUCUGCCAUAGCCCAAACUAUACGGAUUAAUUUUCCAAAAGUCUUGUCUCCUAAAUUAUGGUUGCCUGCUUUUAUGUGGCUGGGUGGUAAGUGUGCCGGUUGCAUGAUAAGACAAGACAAAGGCUUGAUAUUCUUAGAAAGGUUUUUGUGGUUGGUGGAUCUGAAUAUGCAUUCUUUGAUUUUCUUGUACAAAAUUAUUGUAAUUAAUGCACAGAUUUCUCAAAUUUCUUGUAAAAUCAAACUAUUUACUAAAGAACUUCUAGUUUUUGUUUUUCGGUUUAUCUAACAUGUACCCUAUGAACCCUCGUUAACAUGUAUUUCAAGUGUUAAAUUUUUAAGAAUAUAAAAUUAAAUAGGAAAAAUGAUCAAUGCACAAAAAAUAGUAAUUAUUAAUAUAUGUAUAUACAUAAUAAAUAAAUUUGGUAGAAUGUAGUUGUGUUUGACGAAUGUCCACAUUAAAAAACACUUUUUUUUUAUAGCAAAUAUAUGACGCGCAAUGGUCAAAAUUAAGCACCGCGCCAUGCGUAUCAUUGAUGGUUCAUUUGUGCUUGAUUUAAAAUCAGACGAACGAGAUUAAUUGCAAGGUAUAAAUCUCAACGCGUGACGAAAUUUUGAGUCUCAUAAAUAGACUAAUGGAUAACCCACCUCCUCACUAUUAGAAUUCCUACGUUUGUAUGUAUCACACAAAAAUAUCAUAAUUUAACUCUAUUUGUUAUUGUAAUACAUACCUUACAUGACAUUUAAGUUGGUCAAUGAUUGUCCUCAUCCUUUGGAGCGCGACAACGACCGAUACUCGUUAUGGCAUCAUGACUUCCUUUUCGUGGCUUAGACUUUAAAAUAAGAUUAGGAUGAGAAAUUCUACGUAAAUUUUUUUUUUUUAGAACGUUUUUUCACCUAUUUAUUUGUGAACUAUCUUUUUUUUUAAAAAAAAUCUCAAAUAUAUGUUAUCUCAACAAUCAUUACAAUUCCAAGCUAUCAGUUUACUAUAGUAUCAAGACUCACUCUAAACGUAAUCAUAUGUGUCAUGAAUAAAACUAUUAAACUAUAAUUCAAUAAGACGUCUUUUGGAUUUUUUUUUUUUUGUUCAAGAGAAUUUCUAAGCUUUAUAAGGAAAAAGGAAAUGACUUGAAAGUUCUGAUUAAUAUUCUUACUAACGUUAAGUUAUGAGGACUCAUUUUAAAAAUUUGUUUCAAGAGAGAAUUACAGUUUUGAUCUUAAAUAUUUUGAAUAUGAGUACUAAAGUUUGGAUGAAAGCAACUAUAGUUCCAAAAUAUUUCAUUUUUUAUGCAUAUUUAGCCCUAAUGACUGAUUUUUAUCAAUAUCUACCGAAAUCAGGUAAUCCGCUAGCAACUAUUUUUCGAAAAAUUUUAAAAAAUAAUGAAAUAUUGUUGGCCAUAAUUUUGUAAUGAAAAAAAAAAUGACUUAUUACUCAUAUGCUAGUCACAGUGUAAUCUUUUGUGAUUUUGUAACAUUGUUAAAUCUGAUGAUUUUUUAUAUUAGAUAUAUCUAUGACACAUUCCAUAUAUUUUUUACUAUUAGUGCAGAUUUUUUUUGUUAGAAAAAUCGUGUUGGACGAUUUCUGGUUAGUACAUUAAUAAUAUUGGCUUCUGAUUUAUAUAAAGUAACAAUAGUAAAUUCGACUAGGUUUUAAACCCUUCUUAGGAAGGUAAAAUUGAAUUGAAAUAUAGUUCAAAAGGAAAACACCCCCAUUCUCAAUCUUUUCAAUGAAACCACAACUAAUUUCUUUCUUUGCACCAAAGGUACAUUCCAAAGGUGACCGAAUGGUGCACAAUGCACAUAUUCGAGUCCAGUCUAAAACUCAAAUACACCAGCAGCAUAAUUAAGCGGAUCUACACAUAUAUUCAACAUUAUAGCUGUUAACGAGCGAGUCGAGCUCGAGCAUGUGAUAAUCAAGCUCGACUCAAACCCAUAAUCGAGCCAACUCGAGCUCGCUCGAUUAAUAAUUCGAGUUUCACAAACUAUUCGAGAUCGACUCGAUGUGUUCGAUAGAAAACUCAAACUCGAGUUCAAAAUCGAGUCGAGCUUAUCGAGGUUGAAUUCGACCUUGUCGAGCCCAUAGAGUAUCAAAUACACAAUAAAAAUAACGCUAAUAUCCCUACUAUUCGAGCAGUUUCGAGUUUGAAUUCGAGCCUAUCGAACCUGUAGAGUAUCAAAUACACAAUAAAAUGACACUACUACCCCUACUAUUCGAGCCUAUCGAGCUUAAACGAUAGCUCGACUCGUCUAUUAAACGAGUAUCAUGUUGAACUCGAGUUUGACUCGUUUCUCUCAAUAAACGAGCCAAGUCGAGUUCUUAUUAAGUCGAAUCGAGCUCGACUCGCGAGCUAUCCGGUUCGAUUAACAGCUCUAUUCAACAUCCCUAUUGCAGGAAGCAUCCCACGGCCCCCCAACAAAAAGGAAUCUAUCAUCAUCCCUUCCCACUGCCCCUGAGAGUAUUGAAAACUAGUACAGUAGUAUUUUUCUUCCUAUCCUAUUUCUACCAUUAACUUUUAGAUCGACAAGUGUUCGCACAUGAUGCACGUAAUAUAAGACGUGACCAUAGCCCAGAAGACUCGUGAAAGCGAACCACCAAACCAACAAAGCCGAAACCAUCCAAAACCUAACAAAUAUUAACAAAGCUCCCACAAAUACAAUCCCCAAUUACAUUACAUUUCUCUAUCUACUUUUCCAUAUAGUCAGCACGGACGCUGCCAUUUGCUGACCUGGCAUCCCGUCUUCUCUUCCCUCUGAUUUGCCCGUCAUCAACCAUGUAAAGAAAAAAAAGAAAGAAAAAUCUAUCUUUUAGAGUUUUCAAAAAUCAAAUCUUUCACCUUCAUAUACUCAAGACUCUCUCUUCCUUCUCUCUCCUGUUGGCCCCAAAAAAAAAAAAAAGAACUCAUCUUUUGCAGUCAAUUUUACUCCGUAUUUUUUGUUUGUUCAAAAAGAAAUAAAGUUAGGUUUUGUGUGUUUUGUUUGUUUUCUCACGAGGGUUUAAACUUUUUUGGGGGACCGGAAUAUUUGUUGUUGAGGAAAUUUUGAAGCCUUUGAUAGAUAGAGUGAUGAUUACUAUGAACAAAUUACUGAUCAGGUAACCAUUAAACUUUUUCAAAGUAGUCUGAUGAGUUUUUGCCAUUAAACUAUUAAUAGUAUGUUUUUUUGCGCAUAAAACUAUCAAAAGUGUAAAUGUUUUGCCAUUUCAUUUGACUUCACCAUUAAUUCUGUCAAUCUAACUAUUGAUAAUAUGUUCCGUGAAUCGUGUGGGCUUUUAGAUCGGACAGAGUGGUUGAAUCAGACGAAAUGAUUCAAAAUUAAAACUUUUGAUAGUUCAGUGGGUAAAAACAUACUACUAUCAUGAUUGAGUGGCCAAAUCUUCACUGCUGAAAAAAGUUUAGUUGCUAUUGUAGUAAUUUGCUAUUACCAACAAUUAUAGUUACAUUUUACGGUCAAGAGUUCUUGAAUCACUUCCAAAAACCUUUUGAGCCAAUAUAUAUACGCACACACAUGUGCAAUACACCAUUCGCAAUGAGUAAGAUUAAUUAGAAAGGUUACUUUGCUAAUCAAAGUUCCUGUUUGCUGUUCGUUUCUAAUAAGUAGAGUUCCUUUAUUUUUUUUUUGUUAUAACGAAGAAAUUUUUAAAUACAAGAUUAUAAUUAAGAAAAUCAUAUCGCUAGUCAUUUGUUUAACCUCGUUGAUUGAAUUUGUUUAAAAGCUUGCCCAAAUUUGAUUCAUCAACUAACCAAAAAACUUUUAAAACCCUCAUAUGAUAUGAUUGUAGUGUUUCAUAACUUUUUAACUAGAUUCAGAUCUUUGUUUUUGACAAAUAUAACACCUAAAGUUUGCAUGUAAAAAUUCAAGCAGUUGAAAUUGUGUCUUUGGUAAAAUCUUGUUCAAACUCAAUUCACAUUAACAAUUGAGCCCAGUCCAAUCAUAAAUUUAAUAUAAUUAUUAAAAAAUUAAAACCAAUUAGAGAGCAUUUUGGUGUGGAACUAGCUAGACUUGUUUAGACACCCAUGGAUAUUUUUGGACACAAAUUAUCUCUAUAAUACUACGUGUUAUCCCCAGAGCAGAAUUACAUUUUUUUUAUCCUUUAAUUUCUGUGUACUUUUGAAAUUUUACUACUACUUCCCUUCUCCUCUGCGUCUGUCUCUGUAUAAAUAGCCCACACAAAGAAAGAGGAGGCCUUUGCUGAGUGGUUUUAAUUUGUAUUUCUCGCUGCAGACCUAUUUUUCUCUCUGUAUAAUUAUCUCCGUGCGAUCAACAUUCACCAAUCGUAUCCCAAAACCCUUCUCCAAAAAAACCCUAGAAAUUCACGAUCGGCUAAAAAAGCAGAAAAUUCAUCUCUUCAAUUCGUUUUAUCGCCUCUUCAUAUCUUAAUCUCAUUUCUCCAGCGCCCGAUCCGCCUCAUUGAUUUUAUCUACUAUUUUUCUUUUCAGUUUGCUGAUAGAACUCAUAUCCGAUCGAUUCUAGGCUAUAGAAUCGGUCGACUUUGUAGUUUGUUAUUCCAAUCAGGCAAUGGUUUCAUUUGGUUGAUUUCAAUAUGAAGUUGAAACGGAGGAGAGCCGUUGAAGUGGUUCGUAACCUUAACCUUGCUUAUUAAACUACUUAGUUUAUUGCUUGUUGAACUACUUAGUUGAUUGAGUAUUUGUUGAAUUUUAUGCUAAAGUUUUGUUCUUUUUUUUUUUUAAUGCUGAAUUAUAGUUUGUACUUGUUACUGUAUAGUUGAAGUGAUUUGAACUGGGAGAAGAUUGUUUUAUUUGUGAAACUCAUGCACGAGAAUUGUAAAGCUUAUUCUUUUUAGGAAUUUUCACCUGUUUUUGUUGAAGUAGGGGUAAUGUCGUUCUGUAAAACUCAAUCCUUUCUACACAAUUGAGCUUCUCAGUUGUCAUUUACCAAUUUUGAAAAUGCUGGAAAGGAACAAGUGAUACUCUUGGGAUAUUUUUCUGAAUGCUGCUCGUAUCAGCUCUUCAAUUUUUAUUUUUCUUAUUUGUUUUUUAGAACUUGAUAUCUACUUGGAAAAAAAAGCAUCAGUUUUACAAAACAGUGUACAGCGUAUUCUAGUUUUUUCCAUGGAUAUGUUCUGUUGUUCUGUUUGGAUUAUUAAGCUGUGAUUUUUCUGAUCUAUGCUAUUCCAAUUUUCAUCUACAUUUCUAUUAUUUUUGGGAUGUCGAUGGAUUAGGCUAAUUCACUGGGUCAUGUACGUGACUUUUGCUAAUCGUUGUCCUUUCCGCCUUAUUGCAGCCUCCAAGGAUUAAAUAUUUCAUCAACAAUGUUACUUCUACUCCUCUUGAAAAUAUUGAGGAACCGCUGAAAAGUUUUGUUUGGGAGUUUGAAAAGGUGCACUUUAUGAGUGUCAUUAAUUCUAGUUCCUUUGCAAUGCAUUUUCUUUCAGAGUUACUGAAUUUCUAAUUGAUGCAGGGAGAUUUUCAUCACUGGGUCGAUCUUUUUAAUCAUUUUGAUACCUUUUUUGAGAAAUACAUAAAACCAAGGAAGGAUUUGCAGCUUGAUGACAACUUUUUGGAGUCUGAUCCUUCCUUCCCUAGGGAGGCUAUUAUUCAGAUUCUGCGUGUUAUAAGGGUAAUCUUGGAGAACUGCACAAAUAAGCACUUCUAUAGCUCAUACGAGGUAUACAUCUUCUCAUGAAAACUGGAUUUGAUCAAGCAUCGAAUUGUCUUGACUCCGAUUUGCUUGGGAUGGCCGUAAAAUGUGUUUUGCUAUUCAGCUGCAGUGUAAGAUGCCAGUAAUAUUAAAAAGUGUUAACCUCUAACUACAUGAUUGAGAAAGCAGUGCACUGGGAUAAUGUUUAAGAUAGUAAUCUUUGAAAUCCUAUUAGUUGUUAUGAUGUGUUUUUCAUGGAAGCCCACAAGAUUAUGAAAGUUUUCAGUUAUUCUGAAUCCAAAUAUUGCUUAAUGUAGCAGCAGUUUUAUAAAGUUUCGGGAAAAGGGAGAACAUGCAUUCUAAUAUGCUGUGGAAUAGGACUAGAUGCUGUGGAACUAGGAAGCCACAAAGUAAGUUGAGACUAUGUACCUUGGAUGAGUUUAAUUGAUCUAUUUCAAAAGAAUCGGAUACAUGGAUUAGCUGCUGUUGAAGCAGAGGAAAUGUGGAGUUGGUUAGUUGUAAUAGGCAUGCGGAUCUACAAUAAGAUGAACAGUUUGUAAAUAUACAUUUUAGAAGUGCUUAUGGAUAUGAAAGUAUUUUUCUGCUUACGGACUUACCUGUCAAAAGUUAGGCGAGAUAUAAAUUUAACUUUUGACUCUUAAUUGGGCAACUGAACUCAUUGAACAUCAGUUGGAAGUAAGGUACAGAAUUUACACAGGAAAGCUUGGCUUUCGGGGAAAACACAGAGAAAAAUUUUUAGCUGACUAUAUUAGAUCUCUGCAAAUGAACUAACAUUUUUCGGAGUUCUGUUUGGAAUUGUUUUCAAACUCCCAUUUAGUUUCGUAAGCCCUGUCGUGAAUUGGAUUUGUGAAGUAAAUUCAUGUUCUAAGUUUGUUUAGUUAAGCGAAGAUUAUCAUUGUAUGACUACAAGAGUGAGUUUUUAUUAGUGCAAGUAAUUUGUUUUAUCUAGUUUUUGUUACCUUAUCAAUUUUCUUUCAAAAUUUUUACUGCCUUUACCUGCAGUUUAACCACGUACUUGUAAUAUUGGUGCAGCAUCAUUUGUCGUCUCUGCUUACUUCCACUGAUGCAGAUGUAGUUGAGGCAUGCUUGCAAACUUUGGCUGCUUUUUUAAAGAAAACAAUUGGGAAGUAUAUCAUAAGAGAUACUUCUCUCAGGUCAAAAUUGUUUGCUUUUGCACAAGGUUGGGGAGGAAAAGAAGAAGGCCUCGGAUUAGUUGCUUGUGCUGUGCAGAAUGGUUCUGAUGCAGUUGCUCGUCAGUUGGGUUGCACCUUACACUUUGAGUUCUAUGCUGUAAAUGAAUCUUUAAAUGAGUUAGGUACUGCAGAGCAACAUCCCCAAGGGCUACAAAUCAUUCAUUUGCCCAAUGUUGAUACCAGAAAGGAGUCUGAUUUGGAGCUGUUGAAUAAAUUAGUUGUAGAGUACAGAGUUCCCCCUAGUUUGAGAUUUUCUCUUUUGACAAGAUUGCGAUUUGCGAGGGCUUUUAGCUCCCUUGCCAUGCGACAACAAUAUACAUGCAUUCGCCUGUAUGCCUUUGUAGUUCUUGUUCAAGCAUGUACUGAUGCUGAUGACUUGGUCUCUUUCUUUAAUGCUGAGCCGGAAUUCAUCAAUGAAUUGGUUACCUUGUUAAGCUAUGAAGCUGCGAUCCCUGAGAAGAUUCGGAUUUUGAGUAUUCUUUCCUUGGUUGCCAUUUGUCAGGAUCGAGCACGUCAGCCUACUGUAUUGACUGCUGUAACAUCUGGUGGGCACCGUGGUAUUCUAUCUAGCCUUAUGCAAAAAGCCAUUGAUUCCAUUGUGAAUAGUUCAUCAAAAUGGUCUGUUGUUUUUGCGGAGGCUUUGUUAUCUCUCGUCACUGUUUUGGUCUCAUCAUCAUCAGGCUGCUCAGCCAUGCGCGAAGCAGGAUUUAUACCUACUCUUUUGCCUCUACUUAAAGAUAUGGACCCUCAGCAUUUGCAUUUGGUCAGCAUGGCUGUACAUGUGCUAGAAGCCUUCAUGGAUUAUAGCAACCCUGCUGCUGCACUUUUCAGGGACUUGGGUGGUUUGGAUGAUACCAUAUCACGUCUAAAGGUAGAAGUGUCUCAUAUAGAAAAUGGCUCAAAGCAGCUAAGCUCUUCCAUUGUUGACCUUGACAGUUCUGAAUCUAGCAGUUCACAAGCAGUCACGGAGUCUUCUUCUGAUCUAGAUAACAUGCAGCCUCUUUAUUCAGAAGCAUUGGUUGCAUAUCAUCGACGGUUACUGAUGAAAGCCUUGUUGCGUGCAAUAUCCUUGGGAACCUAUGCUCCUGGAGCCACUGCUCGUAUUUCUGGUUCAGAAGAGAGCUUGUUGCCACGUUGCUUAUCCAUAAUUUUCAGGAGAGCAAAAGAUUUUGGUGGUGGGUUGUUCUCUCUUGCUGCAACUGUGAUGAGUGAUCUCAUUCACAAAGAUCCUACCUGCUUUGGUGCUCUAGAAGAGGCAGGUCUUCCUGCCACGUUUAUGGAUGCUAUUAUGGACGGUGUAUUAUGUUCUUCUGAAGCUAUUAGUUGCAUACCGCAGUGCCUCGAUGCCUUGUGUUUGAAUAACAAUGGCCUUCAGGCUGUGAAAGAUCACAAUGCUUUAAGGUGCUUUGUGAAAAUUUUUACAUCUAGGACAUACUUGCGUGCCCUUACUGGUGACACUCCAGGUUCCUUGUCUAGUGGUCUGGAUGAACUAAUGCGUCAUGCUUCACAAUUGCGUGGACCUGGAGUGGAUAUGUUGAUUGAAAUACUGAACAACAUUACAAAACUUGGUUCUGGCCCUGAAUCUGCUUCCUCUACUGAUUCGCCAGGCUCUACUGGACAUGUCCCCAUGGAAACUGAUGUUGAGGAUAAGUGCAUGGCUGUAGCAGAUGGUAGGGAUUUGUGCAAGGUUGAAAGCUCGGAGCAAGCAGUUGAAACAUCUUUGGAUGCCUCAAUAGUAAAUAUUGAAUCUUUUCUUCCUGAUUGUAUAGGCAAUGCUGCUCGUCUUCUUGAAACAAUCCUACAGAAUUCUGAUGCCUGCCGUAUCUUUGUUGAGAAAAAGGGAAUUGAGGCUGUCUUGCAGUUGUUUGUGUUGCCUUCCAUGCCUCUUUCCGUUUCUGUUGGUCAAAGCAUAUCUGUUGCAUUUAAGAACUUCUCCCCGCAGCACUCUGUUUCUCUAGCUCGUGCAGUAUGUUCCUUCUUGAGAGACCAUUUGAAGGCGACAGUUGAACUUUUAGUUUCAGUGGAAGGCAUGCCACUUGCUCAGCUGGAAGUUGCACAGAGAUCGAAAUUCUUGAGAUGCCUUUCCAGUCUUGAAGGGAUACUGUCUCUUGCCAAUUCUUUGUUGAAGGGUACAACUACCAUUAUUUCUGAACUCGGUUCGGCAGAUUCUGAUGUGUUUAAGGAUCUUGGCAGGGUUUAUAGGGAUACACUAUGGCAAGUAUCUUUGUGUUGUGACACAAAGGCUGACGAGAAGCGGAAUGUUGAAGCAGAGCCUGAAAGUGCUGAGGGUGGUGUUUCUAAUGCAGCUGGAAGAGAGAGUGACGAUGAUGCAAACAUUGUCUCGUACAGGUAUACAAAUCCAGUUACUGUCAGGACGAGUUCUCACUCCCCUUGGGGUCUGGAACGGGAGUUUAUUUCUGUUGUUCGUUCAAGUGAAGGUUUUAAUCGUCGUAGUCGACAUGGUUUGGCACGUUUAAGGGGAGCAAGGGCUGGCAGGCAUUUGGAAUCUUUGCAAAUAGAUCCUGAAAGUGCAGCUAAUGGCACAGAGCCUGCUACCCAGGAUUUGAAGAAGAAAAGUCCUGAGGUUCUUGUUUUAGAGACACUUACAAAACUUGCUUCCAGCAUACGUACUUUCUUCACUGCUCUUGUCAAGGGAUUUACAUCUCCAAACCGUCGAAGGACUGAGACAGGAUCUUUGAGUUCAGCUUCAAAAAUCAUUGGAAGUGCCUUAUCUAAAGUUUUUCAAGAGGCUUUUGGGUUUUCAGGAUAUUCUUACUCUUCUGGGCAUGAAAUUUCACUGUCAGUCAAGUGUCGCUAUCUUGGGAAGUUGGUUGAUGAUAUGGUGGCUCUUACAUUUGAUGGUAGGCGUCGGACCUGUUACACAGUGAUGAUCAACAAUUUUUAUGUUCAUGGAACUUUUAAGGAGGUUCUAAGAACAUUUGAAGCUACAAGUGCGUUGCUGUGGACACUACCUUAUUCGCUUCCAGCUUCUGGUCUUGAUCAUGAAAAGAAUGCUGAGGAAGGCAAAUUGUCUCACAGUUCGUGGCUGCUUGAUACAUUGCAGAGUUAUUGUCGCCUUCUUGAAUAUUUUAUCAAUUCUUCUUUGCUGUUGUCUCCAACCUCAGCAUCCCAGGCACAGCUGCUUGUGCAACCUGUGGCAGUUGGUCUGUCUAUUGGAUUGUUUCCUGUUCCUAAGGACCCUGAAGUGUUUGUUCGUAUGCUGCAGUCUCAGGUUCUGGAUGCUAUAGUUCCCAUCUGGAAUCACCCUUUGUUUCCAAAUUGUAAUCCAGUUUUUAUAACUUCUAUUAUUUCACUAAUCACUCAUGUAUAUUCUGGUGUUGGUGAUGUUAAACAAAAUCGUAGUGGGUUGUUAGGGAAUACAAACCAACGUUUGGUGGCUCCACCACCUGAUGAAGCUACCAUUGCUACCAUUGUUGAGAUGGGGUUCUCAAGAGCAAGAGCUGAGGAGGCAUUAAGAAGAGUGGAAACUAAUAGUGUCGAAAUGGCUAUGGAAUGGUUAUUUAGUCAUGCUGAAGAUCCUGUGCUGGAGGAUGAUGAAUUGGCUCGUGCACUUGCUUUAUCUCUAGGAAAUUCCUCAGAAGCAUCUAAAGUCGAUAACACAGAAAAAUCAGUGGAUGUUUUGGCAGAAGAGGAACAAAUUAAGACCCCUUCUGUUGAUGACAUCCUUGCUGCAACAAUGAAGUUGUUUCACAGUAGUGAUUCAAUGGCUUUCCAGUUGACAGAUUUGCUUGUGACUCUUUGCAAUAGGAACAAAGGAGAAGACCGUGAUCAGGUGAUUCCUUAUCUUGUAAAGCAGCUAAAGCAGUGCCCCAUGGAAUUCUCAAAGGAUAAUAGUGCAUUGUGCAUGGUUUCACAUACUUUAGCAUUGAUUUUAUCUGAAGAUGAAAAUGCUCGACAAAUUGCUGUGCAGAGUGGCAUUGUCCCAUUGGCAAUUGAUAUCUUGAUGAACUUCAAAGCAAGGACUACUUCAGGAAAUGAGAUUUUGAGCCCGAAAUGUAUUAGUGCUUUACUUCUAAUCCUGGAUAAUUUGUUGCAAUCCAGGCCCAGAAUCUCUCGUGAAAGUACGGAAGAGACUGCAGCAGGACCAAUACCUGACUCAUCAGAGGAACAUGUUGCAUCUCCAGUUCUGGAAGAUGUUGCUGAGAAAAAAUCCACUCCUCUUUUGCAGGAUAAAGAAAGUAGCACCAUCUUUGAGAAAACAUUUGGAAAACCUACAGGCUUUUUGACGAUGGAAGAUUGUGGUAAUGUAUUGAUUAUUGCUUGUGACUUGAUAAACCAGCAUGUACCAGCUUUGGUUAUGCAGGCCGUUCUUCAGUUAUGUGCUCGCUUGACAAAACAACAUGCUCUGGCUUUGCAAUUUCUUGAAAAUGGUGGCUUGGCAGCUCUAUUUGGUCUUCCAAGGAGUUGCUUUUUUCCAGGGUAUGAUACCUUGGCAUCUGCAAUUAUUCGACAUCUUAUUGAAGACCCUCAGACACUGCAAACAGCUAUGGAAUUGGAGAUACGACAAACUCUAAGUGGAAAUCGUCAUGUUGGUCGUGUCUCUGUUAGAACAUUUCUGACAUCAAUGGCACCUGUUAUAUCUAGAGAUCCAGGGGUCUUUAUGAAAGCAGCAACUGCUGUUUGUCAGUUGGAAUCAUCUGGAGGAAGGACCACAAUUGUGUUAUCAAAAGAAAAAGAUCGAGAGAAGGAGAAAGAGAAACAAAAAGCUUCUGGUGUUGAAGCUGGGAUGGCUUCCAAUGAUUCUGUUCGAAUAUCUGAUAAUAAAAUGCAUGAUGGACCUGCAAAGUGCUCUAAAGCCCACAAGAAGGUUCCUGUGAAUCUCACUCUGGUGGUGGAUCAACUUCUUGAAAUUGUAUUGACAUUUCCAUUGAAGAAAAGUGACGAAGAUUUCGCUGCUUAUGAGAAUGCUAUGGAGGUAGAUGAAUCUACAACCAAGAUAAAGGGAAAGUCCAAGGUUGAUGAGACGAGGAAUGCUGAGACAAAUAGUUUUUCAGAGAAAUCUGCAGGUCUGGCUAAGGUGACAUUUGUUCUCAAGUUACUGAGUGAUAUUCUUUUGAUGUAUGUACAUACUGCUGGAGUAAUUUUGAGACGGGGUAUUGAACUGUCUCAACUUCGGGGAUCUAAUCAAUUAGACUGCUCUGGACAGGGUGGAAUCAUCCAUCAUGUUUUACAUCGGCUUCUUCCCCUUCCAAUUGAUAAAACUGCAGGUCCAGACGAAUGGAAAAAUAAGCUUUCUGAAAAGGCUUCCUACUUUUUGGUUGUUCUUUCCAGCCGCUCAGGUGAAGGGCGUAGGCGAGUGAUUAACGAACUUGCAAAAGCAUUAUCUCCAUUUUCAAAUUCAGAAAGUAAUUCAUCCAGUUGUAGCUUUUUGCCAGAUAAAAAGGUCCUUGCUUUUGUUGAUUUGGUAUAUGCUAUUUUAUCUAAGAACUCAUCUUCCAGUAAUUUACCUGGCUCUGGUUGCUCUCCUGAUGUGGCCAAAAGCAUGAUAGAAGAGGGGAUGGCUCGGUGUUUGUCUGGCAUUCUGCAGAAACUCGAUUUGGACCACCCUGAUGCUCCAAAAAUUGUGAAUCUCAUACUCAAGUCUUUGGAAAGCCUAACAAGAGCUGCUAAUGCUAGUGAGCAACUAGCAAAGUCUGACUGUUUGAACAAGAAAAAAGCUGUUGGCGUCAGUGGAAGAUCUGAUGAGAAUGUAAAUGUAACCUCAGCCUCUCGAACAGCAGAGUCUAAUGGUCAUGGAAACUGCCAACAGGAAGCCACGGGUGCUGCAAGUUCAGAACAACAGCCUCCAGAAAGCUCCCAAAAUGGAGGUGAUGGGGGUAGAGAUUCAAUCCAGUCUAUGGAGCAUGAAAUGAGGAUAGAGGAGUCUGCAAAUGGAAAUCCACCUUUGGAACUUGGGUUGGAUUAUGUGCGUGAGGAUAUGGAAGAAGCUGGUGUCAUGGAAAACAGAGAUCAAAUUGGUAUGGCCUUUCAUGCUGAGAAUAGGGUAGUUGAUGAUAUGGGCGAUGAAGAUGAUGACAUGGGCGAUGAUGGCGAGGAUGAUGAGGAUGAUGAUGACGGGGACGAAGAGGAUGAAGAUAUUGGAGAAGAUGGCACUGCACUGAUGUCUCUAGCUGAUACUGAUGUGGAGGAUCAUGAUGAAGCUGGUGGGGAUGAAUAUAACGAGGAUAUGGUUGAUGAAGAGGAUGAUGAUUUCCAUGAGAAUCGUGUUAUUGAGGUUAGGUGGAGGGAAGCCCUAGAUGGGCUGGAUCAUUUACAAGUACUUGGGCAACCAGGAACUGGGGGUGGACUCAUUGAUGUUGCUGCGGAGCCCUUUGAAGGAGUGAAUGUGGAUGACCUUUUUGGCCUUCGUAGAACUUUUGGAUUUGAACGUCGCCGUCAGAUAAACAGAAAUUCGUUUGAGCGAUCUGCCACAGAUAGGACUGGUCUUCGACAUCCUCUCCUCUCGAGGCCAUCACCAUCUUCUGAUUUGGUUUCAAUGUGGUCUGCAACUGGAAAUGCAGCCAGGGAUGUUGAAGGUUUCUCUACCGGAAAUCUUGAUGCAUCUCAUUUUUACAUGUUUGAUGCUCCAGUUCUUCCCUAUGACAAUGCACCAUCUAGUCUCUUUGGUGAUCGAGUAGGUGGUUCAGCACCGCCACCAUUGGCAGAUUUUUCUGUUGGUUUGGAGUCUCUUCGAGUGCCUGGGCGAAGGGUGUCUGGUGAUGGCCGGUGGACAGAUGAUGGCCAACCCCAAGCUGGUGGUCAAGCUGCAACUGUUGCUCAGGCAAUUGAAGAACUGUUCAUAUCUCAAAUGAGCAACAAUGCUCCCAAUCAUCUGAAUGAAAGGCUGUCAGAAAACACGUCUGCGAAACAGCAGGCAGAUACCCUCUUGGUUGCUGAUAGUCAAGUGCCACUAGAUGGUGAUAGCACUGUUGCUCAACAGCAUGAUGUACAAAUUCAGGAGAAUGAUCCUGGAAUUGAUCGAUUAGGUGAAGGUCAGUGUUCUCAGGAAGCAGUUGAUCGGGAGGUUGUUACUGAACAAGCAGGUGAUCCCCAUCAACUGAGUGAACCUGCAGCCAAUUUAAUUUCGGAGAACACUCCAGAAGCACAGGAUAUCAUGGAAACUGGGGAAGAAAAUGGCAGUGCCAUGGAGCAAUUAAGUGUUAUGCAGGGUUCAGUUGCCCCAUCAAUGUACUCACAGGCUGAUCCAGUUGGUUCUAGGAGUUCUGAUGGACUUGGUAGUCCCCAUUAUUUGCACCUGCAAAAUUUAGGCCAUCAUAGCCCUUCAGCAGCUGAUAGUCAGUCUAGUAAUCAUGCACUUAUAAUUACUGGGUCAGAUAUGCCGGAUGCUACUCUUAGUCAUGCUUCUUCUGUCAAUGCUGAUGUUGAUAUGAAUGCAGUGUUUAUGGAAGGAGACCAGUCUUAUCAAUUGCUAUCUACUUCGGACGUCAACGGAGAGGAGCCAUCCUAUAGGCAGAUUGAGGUUGUCCAAGAGGCUAGUCAGACUGAUGAAACUAAUGUGAAUAAUGACGCUUCUAAUGGCAAUGGUAUUGAUCCAACCUUUUUGGAAGCACUUCCUGAAGAUCUGCGAGCAGAAGUUCUUGCCUCACAGCAAGCCCAGUCCACUCAGCCUCCAACUUAUACUCCACCAGCAGCUGAAGACAUAGAUCCAGAGUUUUUAGCAGCUCUUCCUCCAGAUAUACAAGCAGAAGUUCUGGCACAACAAAGAGCACAAAGGGUUGCACAGCAGGCUGCUGGGCAGCCUGUUGAAAUGGAUAAUGCCUCAAUUAUUGCCACUUUCCCGGCUGAUUUGCGUGAAGAGGUUUGCACUUUCAACUGUUUUCUUUUGUCCUUUAAUUCUGGUGAUAACUUAUGCUGCUUGUUCCAGGUGCUUUUAACAUCUUCAGAAGCAGUUUUAUCUGCUUUGCCCUCUCCUCUGCUUGCUGAAGCACAAAUGCUGAGGGACAGAGCAAUGAGUCAUUAUCAAGCUCGCAGCUUGUUUGGAGGUAGCCACAGGUUUAACCAUCGGAGAAAUGGCUUGGGCUUUGAUAGGCAUGCGGUGAUGGACCGAGGUGUUGGGGUUACAAUUGGCAGGAGGGCGUCGUCUUCUAUUACAGAGAGUUUGAAGUUGAAGGAACUUGAAGGGGAGCCACUCUUGGAUGCAGACUCCUUGAAGGCAUUGAUUCGUCUCUUGCGAUUAGCACAAGUAAGAUAUAUCUCAUUGACUACUACUAGUAGUUCUUUGAGAACCUUGAUACAUUUUGUUACUUUGUUUUUUCUAACUCCAUGUAGUUAUCUGUGUAUUUGUGAGUUAAGGUGGUACUCAUACUUUUCAUGCUUUCAGCCUCUUGGUAAAGGUCUUCUGCAACGACUCUUGUUGAACUUAUGUGCGCACAGUAGUACAAGAGCCAUUCUUGUUCGUCUUCUGCUUGAUGCCCUCAAGCCUGUAAACGAAGGAUCAGUUGGUGGACUGACAACAUCGAAUUCACUAAGGCUUUACGGGUGUCAGUCCAAUGUUGUUUAUGGCCGAUCUCAGUUGUUUGAUGGUAUUUCUCCUUUCUGCUGAAUGUAAGUAGUUUGUGGUUCCAAAAUUUGAUCUUAUGGAUGAUUUCAUUCCUUUGCAGGCCUUCCUCCACUGGUGUUGCGUCGGAUUCUUGAGAUUUUGACUUACCUUGCCAACAAUCAUUCAGCUGUUGCCAGUCUUCUGUUCUUUUUUGAUUCUUCUCUUGUUCCAGAGGCCCUAAAUGCAGACACUUCAGAAACCAAGAAGGAUAAAGGCAAGGAGAAAAUGUUGGAAGGAGACAACCAAUCAAACAGUUUGGGAUGCUCUGAAAAGGGCGAUAUCUCUUUGAUAUUGUUUCUCAAACUCUUGAGUCAACCUCUGUUCUUACGCAGCAUUGCUCAUCUUGAGCAGGUGUGCUCAAUAUAUUUGUGGCAGUGAUACUCUCUUUAUGGUUUCAUAAAUUCUUGUCUAUGUUUUUUCGCCUAGUUUACCUGUGUAUGUUUCUUAAUUUUAAUUAUGCAGGUCAUGGGUCUCAUUCAAGUGGUGGUACACACUGCAGUAUCCAAAUUAGAAUGUCAAUCUCAUUCUGAAGAAGCAGCAGCUCACAUUCAAAAUCCAUCCAGUGGUGGGAAUAUUGGUGAUGUUGAGAAAGACAGUUCUUUGUUACCAGUUGAAUCAAAUCAUCAAGAUGAUGAAAGCAACCCUGCUAGGAAAUCCACCCCACACUGUGAGAAGAACAUGAACAUCUAUCAUAUAUUCUUGCAGCUUCCACAAUCUGAUCUGCACAAUCUCUGCAGCAUUCUUGGCCAUGAGGGGUAAUUCUUUCCCACUAUGCUGUAGCUAUGGUGUUGGGUAGUUAUUUGUUUGCCUGUGGAUUGUGUUUCCUGUAGAUUAUCUAUUGAAUUGUAACUUUCAUUUAAUGUUUUCGCUAAAUUUUGUUCACAAACUCUUCCCUUUUGGCUGCUGGCACCCUUUAUAAGAGAAACAAAAGGAGAAAAAAGAGUUAAAUGUAUUGACAUGUAAUCAACUUCGUCAUAAUUAAUCUUUUGUUCAUCAGGCUUUCAGACAAGAUUUACAUGCUUGCUGGUGAGGUGCUGAAGAAGUUGGCCUCUGUUGCUGCUCCUCAUCGCAAAUUCUUCAUUUCAGAGCUUUCAGGCUUAGCUCAAGAAUUGAGCAGCUCAGCUGUUAAUGAGCUUAUCACUCUUAGAAAUACACACAUGUUGGGUUUGAGUGCUGGAUCCAUGGCUGGUGCUGCUGUUCUUCGGGUGCUGCAAACAUUAAGUACAUUCACUUCUGUGAGCAAUGAUAGUAACAGGGACACAAUGACUAUUGAGGAACAGGAAGAGCAUGCUAAUACGUGGAAGCUAAAUGUGGCUCUGGAACCACUGUGGCAAGAACUGAGUGAAUGCAUUAGCGCUAUGGAGUCAGAGCUUACACAAAGCUGUUUGUCUUCUGUUAUGCCCAAUGUUAACAUUGGGGAGCAUAUACAGGGUUCUUCAUCUGUGUCUCCGCCUCUUCCUCCUGGAACUCAAAGACUUUUGCCAUUUAUUGAGGCCUUCUUUGUCUUGUGUGAGAAACUACAGGCACACAAUUCUUUCAUUCACCAAGAUUAUGCUGAUGCUACUGCAAGAGAGGUGAAAGAGUCUGCAGGGAGUCCAGUUUUGUUUUCUAGCAAAUACAGUUUGGAUUCUCACAGGAGAAUUGAUGGGACUUUGACAUUUACUCGGUUUUCUGAGAAGCAUCGUCGCCUUCUAAAUGCCUUUGUCAGGCAGAAUCCUGGGCUGUUGGAAAAGUCUCUUUCUAUGUUGCUGAAAGCGCCACGGCUUAUUGAUUUUGACAACAAGCGAGCUUAUUUCCGCUCAAGAAUACGGCAACAGCAUGAGCAACACCUCUCAGGGCCUUUACGAAUAAGUGUCCGGCGAGCAUAUGUAUUAGAGGAUUCAUACAAUCAGUUGCGGAUGCGACCAACUCAGGACCUGAAGGGCCGACUAAACGUCCAUUUUCAAGGUGAAGAGGGUAUUGAUGCCGGUGGGUUGACACGAGAAUGGUACCAACUGCUCUCCAGGGUUGUAUUUGACAAAGGGGCUUUGCUAUUCACCACUGUGGGAAACAAUGCUACUUUCCAGCCAAACCCAAAUUCUGUCUAUCAGACUGAACAUCUCUCUUAUUUUAAAUUUGUAGGCCGCGUGGUAAUGCUUGAGGAUUUUUUGUUCCUUAUUUUUUGAAUCCUUAGUGUCUUUUGUAUUCUUCCUCGAACUUGCAGCUGUAAUCAUGUCUAGUAAACACCUUUUGUAGGUUGCUAAGGCACUGUUUGAUGGGCAACUGUUAGAUGUGUACUUUACGCGAUCAUUCUACAAGCAUAUCCUUGGUGUGAAGGUGACUUAUCAUGAUAUAGAGGCUGUUGAUCCAGAUUAUUAUAAAAACCUGAAAUGGAUGCUGGAGGUGAGUUGCAUAAUGUUUGCAUUGGUUUAUUAUUAAUACUUUUUGAGUGGCUGAUGGUUUAUUUAAUGCCUUCAGAAUGAUGUGAGCGAUGUACCUGAUCUCACAUUCUGCAUGGAUGCUGAUGAAGAAAAGCACAUUCUGUAUGAGAAAACAGAGGUAUUCAAGUCACAGUUUUUCUGUUUAUGGUGUGCAUUACAUAUUGAACAUAGUUUGAAGAUUCAGAUCUCUUUAAGUUUCUUCUACUAUUUAAUGGGUGCUCAUUAGGGUGAAGUCGCUAAGAAUCUAAUUCUUCUUUAUUUUUCUGAUAAAUAGGUAACUGGUUAUGAGCUUAAACCUGGCGGAAGCAACAUAAGAGUCACAGAGGAAACAAAGCAUGAAUAUGUGGAUCUUGUGGCUGACCAUAUUCUGACAAAUGCAAUACGGCCUCAAAUUAAUUCCUUCAUGGAGGGCUUCAAUGAAUUAGUGCCAAAGGAACUUAUAUCUAUCUUUAAUGAUAAAGAGCUUGAGCUGCUAAUAAGUGGUCUUCCAGAAAUAGAUUGUGAGUUUGUUGGCUUCCAAUGCUUUAUAUUUGUAUGAAAUUAUUACUUUGUCCUUUUAAGUAUCUUAAUGGUGAUUUCCUUUGUAGUGGAUGAUUUAAAGGCCAACACCGAGUACACAGGAUACACAGCUGCAUCUUGUGUUGUUCAGUGGUUUUGGGAAGUUGUCAAAGGCUUCAAUAAGGAAGAUAUGGCAAGAUUAUUGCAAUUUGUUACUGGUACAUCUAAGGUAAUCUGGUGUCCCUUAAGUAAUUUUGAUCCGACAUUUGUUAUUAAUAACUUUUAAUAGCUUGCAUGCUGCUUAUAGAUUGAUAACUUAGUUAUUGUGGAGGUAUAACUAGUGAAGGAGUUCUCAGAAAAAUCUGAAAGUGAUAGCUUAAGUUUCUUGGAUAUUUUAUUUACUAGAAGAGGGAUUUGGAGUCAUGGCUAUAAUUGGCUUUGAGAAAGUUGACAAAUUGGGAAAAUGCUUCAGUUUAUUUUGGUGGAAUAAAAUAGGUGAAUAAAAAUUAUUUACGUAAAUAUUGAGAAGUAUUGAAAUACUUCUUUUGGAGUGUUAGAUAAAUAAAGUACACAAUAUCACUAUGUAAAUAGAAAUGUUUGUUAUCUCAACAACUAAACAUGGGAUAUUAUUCUUGUAACAAUGACCUUUGUUGUCUUCACUGAAAUAAACUGUAACAAAAAAUGAGAUUGGUACAGCAUGAGUGAGACAGAUGUUUACUCAGUAAUACAUGAUGUAAUUUUGGUUCAAUGAGAUUUCAGAAGUCAUUUCUUAGCUCCGCUUUUAUUUUCUUAGGUUCCUUUGGAGGGCUUUAAGGCAUUGCAAGGUAUUUCUGGUGCUCAGAGGUUUCAAAUUCACAAGGCAUAUGGAGCUCCUGAAAGACUGCCAUCAGCUCAUACAUGGUAAGUUUAGUAACGUACGUAGACAGGAUUACUAGUUCACUUGUCCCUAGCUUUUAAUAUCUGCUGGUUGCUCAGAUUUGUGUCAUAUUUUUAACUUUCAAAUCCUUUUUUUUUUCCAGUUUCAACCAACUGGACCUCCCCGAAUAUACGUCGAAGGAACAGCUUCAAGAGCGCUUGCUACUGGCUAUCCAUGAAGCUAGUGAAGGAUUUGGCUUUGGAUAAAAUAUCUCAGAAGUGUCUGCCUAGAAGUUGGUGGAAUUUGAUACUGCAAUUUCAUGUACAUGUUAGUGCCCUUGUGAAAUGAGUGCAACUCUUCUCGUUUUGUGUUCACUUUUCACGGUGUUCUUCCUCCAUUUUUCUCUUCAGAAGAAAAAUGCAGGUCUUGCAUAGCUAUUUGCUUCUUGCCAGUCCAUUCAGCAUGCCCAUUUUGUUUUUUUUUUUUUUAAAUGAAAAAUCCUAAUUUCAACCUUCUUGAUUGAAAAACCAGAAGAUAAGCUGUCCAUUGAAUCCUUUUUCUUCCUGUAGUUCUUAUGAAUAGGUUUCUUAGCCAGCAGCAUUUUCAGAGUUUCUGCUUGCGUCCUAUUAGAACCGAUGUUUGAUGCUUUAAGCUUUGUUGAUACUAGUUGUUUGAAAUGGUUAUUAAGACCAAAUUUCCAAAUUUGGACAAGUUUGUUGACAUAGGAUUUGGAGCCAAUGUUAAGUUCAUUUUGGCAUUUGGAUGUUACUGAAGAGUUUUGUGUAUUUUGUCUAGUGUGUCUUUUUUCCCCCGAGGCUCUGACAUUUAUUUAUUUUGCAGAUCAUGAAGCAUUAAAGCUCAAAUCAGAUAUUCGUAGCAUACAAGUCAAAUUGAAUUUUCGACUUAACGGGGAUGCAUCAGAUUUUCGAAGUUUGAGAUGGGGGUAAUUUCAGGCACCGUCGCCCUUUUCUGAAGCAAAUUUUUGUGUCUUUGAUCCCGUGGCUAGGAAAUUGGUUAUUUAUGGCUCCUUGCCACAUCUAUGGAUCAGGAGACGCAUAAUUAAUGAAGACUCAUUUGUAUAUACAUUCUUUUUUGUUUUUAUAUAUUAAUAUCUGCUGGGGAGAAGUUUUUCCUUUUUGUGCAUGAUGGCCUUGAGACUCCUAUAUCUAAAUAAAUAUUCGUGGAUGAAGCUUUCUAAGAUAUCAUCAUCAAUUUUUGCCUUCUGUUAUUAUCUUGGUAUCUGCAAGGAAGAUGUGUACUCUUCUAUCACGUCAUAGAGGAGACUGACUUCCUGUGAUGUUUUUAUGGUGGAAGCCUAUACAUUGCAUCCUUGUUGUAUGGGUCUCUCUUGCUGUUGAGCUAGUGCAUCCUUGGCAGGGAAUUUCAAUGCAGAACUUAGACGGGAGGUUAAAGGUAUCGAGGCAAUUAUGGAAAUGAUUAAAUUUUAACCCCCAUGACUGACCCGUCCCCAAACUUUUAUUUUUAGCCAUAUGGUUCAUCUUCAACUGGCCAUUGGUUGCUAAAUUAAAUGCCCAUGUAGUAAAAUGCUACCUAUGUGAAUAAUCUAUAUUUGGUCAAGCUAAUUAAUGGGAGUACCAUUUUUGUCCCCUUAAAAAUCCUCGAUGCAAAUACAGCCGGUGUACUGUAAAUCACUAGUAAAAACUUUGCUUUGUAGUUAUAUUAAGAAGAUUAUAAUGAGCUCUUCCUAUCAAUUCCCCUAAAGCCUCUUUUCGCCUGGGCCUGGUACGGUGAGCGAACGCUUUUAGGGCGUCUAAGAAAUCUCAUUGGAUACCUCAGUUAAAGGGUCUUAAAGCCUGUUUCCCCAGGGCCCUAUAUGAUUUUGAGGUGAAAGUGAACACAUUAAAAGAUGUUGCCUUUCAUUGAAGAAUGGCCCAUCAUAGGCCCAAAAAUAAGUACAAUAUUUUCACCUCAGUCCAACAACUAAAAAUUUCGUUGACGAGACUACCCUUGUCUCUUCUUCACAUUUUCUUGCCCGUACACAAGUACGGUUCUUGGUGGAUACUCUGGCACCGACUUCUAGCAAGAUGUCUCGUUUGCUUAAGAGGCGGCAAAUACACCCUCCCAAAUCCCUGGUACCAACAAAAAAGAAAUACAAUUGAAUUAAUACAGAUGUCAUGCGUUCUUGUUUGGGCUCUGCAACAGCCAGAGACUUUUUUCUUUUUCCCCAAAAUGGAGUAAAAAUCCGAGCUUUUUCCAAAAUGGGCAGAAUUUCUAAAGAUUUCCCAGAACAACUGAAAGGUACUCCCAAAAGCAGAAGAGCAGCAGAUACAGAGUCACCUGGUACUUUGUUUCUAUCAUGUCUGAAUUUCUAUUCUCUUUACUUUCUGUGUGUGUGUGUGUGUGUGGCCGUGUUUGAGUGCAUAAAGUCUUGUGCUUUAUGGUAAUAGGUGAUAAGCGGGAAAGAAGUAUUCAUACAAUUUUGACAAUAGAUCGUUGGGAGUCACUGAACCGGAUGGAAUACAGGAUGGCAUCAUUGAGGCCAGUCCACGGAAGAUUAUCUUUGAAAAUUCUCAAUUGGGUCAUAAAGCAACCAGGUUUGGAGCUCAGUCACAUAAUUCAUAUGUACUGUAUAACGGCCCACAUACUUAUUAGAGCAAAAAUGUAUGACUCUGCUAAGUCAAUUUUGAUGCAUUUAUCUGAGAUGCGCUUUGGGUCAAGUUAUGUUUUUGAUGCUCUUAUGAAUACAUAUCGUCUUUGCAAAUCAAACCCUUCAGUUUUUGACAUUUUGAUAAGGGUUUAUGUAAGAAGAGGGAUGGUUGAGGAUGCUUUGGAGAUAUUUUCUUUAAUGGGUUGUCGGAAGUUUAGGCCCUCAGCGGAUUCUUGUAAUAUGAUCCUAGCUGCGAUGAUGAAGGGCAGGCGUGCGGAUUCAGUAUGGUCAUUUUUCAAGGAAAUGCUGGCAAAUAAUGUAUGCCCUAAUGUAGGAACAUUUAAUAUACUGUUGAAUGCUCUUUGUUUGGAGGGAAAGCUUAAGAAUGCGGGUUAUCUACUAAAUAAGAUGGAAGAAAGUGGUUAUGCUCCAAACAUUGUUACCUAUAACACGUUGCUCAACUGGUAUUGCAAGAACGGAAGAUACAAAUCCGCUUUUGGGCUGAUGGAUCGCAUGAGUUCUAAGGGUAUUGAAGCUGACGUGUGUACUUAUAACAUGUUUAUGAAUGAACUUUGUAGAAAUAAUAGGAGUGCAAAAGGUUAUUUAUUGCUGAGAACGAUGCGGAAGAGGAGGGUAUUCCCAAAUCAAGUGACAUAUAAUACACUCAUUAGUGGGUUUGUCAGAGAGGCAAAAAUUGGGGUUGCUACUCAGCUUUAUGAAGAGAUGUUGAGUUUUCACCUUUCACCGAACCAUAUCACUUACAAUGCCUUGAUUAAUGGGCUUUCUCUGGAAGGAAACUUUGAAGAAGCUUCAGAACUUCUCAACAAAAUGGAAGAAGGAGGACUACAACCUAAUGAAGUCAGUUAUGGUGCUGUUGUGAAUGGGUUAUGCAAGCAUAAUAAGGUAGAUUUGGCAAGAAAUCUUUUCGAGAGAAUGAGGAUUAAGGGUAUGGUUAUUAGUCCAAAUUCCUAUACCAUGCUGAUGGAUGGGCUAUGUAAGAAUGGAAUGCUCGAGGAGAGUAUACAAGUGCUUGGCGCAAUGUUUGAGGAUGGUGUAAAUCCUGAUUUAAUCACAUAUUCAGUACUUGUAAAUGGAUUCUGUAGAGCUGGAAGGAUGAAUAGUUCAAAGGAGAUAAUCUGUAAGAUGUAUAGAUCUGGACUGGUAGUGAAUUAUACUGUAUAUUGUACAUUACUGUAUCAUUUUUGCCAGCAGGGAAACAUUGCUGAAGCAAUGAGAACCUAUGCAUUAAUGCAUAAAAGUGGCCAUGUUCCUGAUCUUUUUGUUUGCAACUUAUUGGUAUCCUCCCUUUGUAGGUGUGGGAAGAUAGGUGAAGCAGAAGAUUUCAUGCAUCACAUGCAUAGAAUUGGUAUUACUCCCAAUUCAUUUACUUUUAAUAGUGUAAUUGGUGGCUGUAGAAACAAAGGUGAUGGGCUAAAGGCAUUUUCUUUGUUUGAUGAUAUGAUUCAAUUGGGUAAUCACCCAAGCUCUUACACAUAUGCGAGUCUUUUAAAAUCACUAUGCACAGCAGGGAAUCUUUUAAUAGGAGUGAAAUUUUUUGAUCAACUUCGGCACAUCCCUUAUGCUGUCAAUGCUGCUGCAUACAACAUCUUACUGGCUGAGACUUGUAAAUCAGGAAAGUUCCAGAUGACAUUAAGCCUUUUAGACGAAAUGGUUUCAAAUAAUGUGCUUCCUGAUGAUUGCACAUAUACUAGUCUUUUUGAUGGGUUAUGUAGAAAAGGCAGGAUGGUUACUGCAAUUAUACUGUUUGGAAGAGCAUUGGAAAGAGGAACCUUCUUUCCAAACCAGGUACUGUAUACCUGUAUCAUCAAUGGGCUUUUCAAGAGUGGCCAUCCAAAGAUUGCUACUUAUUUUUAUGAUGAGAUGUUAAAAAAUGGUUUGAACGUUGAUACAGUGGCAUUCAAUGCUAUGCUGGAUGGUUAUUCAAGAAUUGGACAACUAGCAAAGGCCAAGAGUCUUUUCUCAAUGAUGAGUGGUAGAAAUUUGUGCUCUAAUUUGGCUACGUAUAAUAUUCUUUUACAUGGGCACUCCAAGCAACAACGCAUAUCAGAAUGCUUUUCCUUGUAUGCCACUAUGGUGAGGAAAGAUCUUCUUCCUGAUAAAAUAACAUACCAUUCUAUAAUUCUCGGACUCUGCGAGUCAGGGAUGGUGGAUAUUGGUGUCAAAUUUCUUAAAAAGAUGAUUUUGGAGGGGACUAUGGCUGACACCAUGAUGUUUAACAUGUUAAUUACCAAAUAUUCUGAGAGGGACAAAAUGGAGAAGGUCUUUGACCUUUUGAACAUAAUGAGGUCUAUUGGAGUUUCAGAGGAUGGAGAUACUUACAGCUCUAUACUUAUGGGACUUGGAAGAGCAUCUAAUUUCCAAGCAUCUCGUAUUGUGUUGCAUGGAAUGUCAGGAAAAGGCUUUAUACCUACAGAAAGACAAUACUGUAGCGUAAUCACUGGUUUGUGUAGAGUGGGAGACAUACGCGGAGCAUUCAGGUUAAAAGAUGAGAUGGAGACACUAGGCCUGAGCUCCCAAAAUGUAGCUGAAAGUGCCAUGGUUAGAGGCCUUGUGCGACGUGGAAAGACAGAGGAAGCAAUGUUUUUUCUUGAUUGCAUGCUAAGGGGACAACUUGUACCAACUGUUGCAACUUUUACAACUCUCAUGCAUCAGUUUUGCAAUGAAUCUAAAUUUUCUGAGGCAUUGGAGUUAAAAACUAUAAUGGAACUUCAUGGAAGAAAGCCAGAUGCUGUUACAUACAAUGUUCUUAUAUCAGGCCUUUGUGUCAGCGGUGACAAACUUCAAGCAUUUGAUUUGUACAAGGAAAUGAAGCAGAGGGAUCUCUGCCCCACUGUCACAACCUUUAGGGUGCUCCUUCAUGCAGUUUCUUCUGAAAAUGAUUCUGUUAAGGGCAAAACCCUUCUAGUGGAUCUGCAAGAAAGAGGACUGAUAAGUCAAGAUUUGGAUGCCCAACUUUGGUGCAAGACAUCAGUGGUUGCAAUGGAGAAGUUAGACUUCUUGAUCAAAAGAAAGAGUAGCUGCAGCCACGAAAAGGAGUAUAGCCAUUGGGAAUAUUCAUCAUUCGGCACUUCUGCAAGUUUAUGAUUGUUUCAGAUGAUUUAAACUGCCAUCUCACUCCACACUAGGUCUAUUUCCUAUACCAAAACUUUUGAGUUCUCAAGUAAUUAUCUGUAUGUACAGAUGUUUGUUUUAUGUUCUUGGUAUGAAUGAGAUUUUUUUAAAUUUUAAUGUUUUUUCAGCCUUUGAGUAGUUAUCAUCAGAAUCAACUCCUUGGGUGCCAAAAAGGAUGACUAGAUUUUGCAUUUUUUAUGGUCAGAGCAGACGCUUGUGGACCAUCUCAAUAAGGUAAUUUUGUUCAAUUUCACUGCUUUUAAACUUGUCUAGGAUGCCCAAAAUGAGGUUGAGUUGGUAUCCUCAUAACUAAGAUUGGUCUUUUUAAGCGGUUUGUAACAUUGCCUUUCAACAAUGCCUUCUUCCAACUCAGGAGUAUUGGCUUAUAUUUGACAUGUUGUAAACUGAUUUGUGCUUUUCUUAAUUCACAGGAUUUGAAUUGGAAUCGGACCCUUGAGAAGUUAUCAGCUAUGUGUGCUACUCUGACCUCUCACUCGAUCCUGCUCUUCAGAUGUAAAAUUUCCAGAAACCAAGGAGAAUAAGGCAAGUAAAAACUUGUGGAGGAAGAAAAUGAGUUAAACUUGUUUGCGAUUUAUGGAAGGUUAAAUUUUCUUUAAGUUUUUAAGUAAACAGUUAUUCUUAUGCUGCAUUAUGGACCUUGGAGCAGGUUCUUAGAAAUAUUUUGUCACAUGACUCUUUGUCUUUCAGCUUCCAAGAUUUCUCGCAAGUGUUUUUUGACUUGAUAUAUGUACGUGUCUAAAUUGUUUGAUGACAUGCAUGGUCAUGUUUAUCUCUCUCAUUGGAAGGAUUUUUGAAGUGGUAAUCUGCUUUCCAACUCUCAAAUUUUGGGCUGAUUUGAAGAAAUCCAGGCGUGAUUCUUCAAAUUCUCCUGGCAAGGAGCGUAAAGGUAGAUAACAUACAAGUCAAUUUAGAAGUACAACUAUAGCAGUAAUGUGGAAUUGGUAUCAAGUAGCCAUUAAGGUGUGAAAGCGUUUAAUUCCUUGUAAAAGCAGCCACUGGCUAACUCUCUGUGUCACUGUUCUUGGCAGCUACCUUGCAUGCUACCGCAGAGUACCUCCUCCUAAUAGUUCCGUGCUGAAGUAGCUAUGCAAAAUACUUAAUUGGCAUUCAUGCCUGCCUCCCUGCUGAAAUCUCGGCUGAUCAUAAAGCUUAUCAAGGUCUGCUUGCUGGACUCGAUUGCCUGAAUAUGGCCCAGAGCUGGAAAAAAAAGGUCAGAUUGGUAACGACCCGUGAUUACUGUUAUAAUUUUAGGUCCCCUCCUCUCCAGGUAAAAUAAUGGAACAUUUUUCGCGAUGCAGCCAGGAACAGAUAUGUGUUAUGGAGUGCGCAAGUGCGAGGUGUGUUGUGUUGUGUGAAACUUCUAUCAAUCUGCACUUUCUACUGGAGGCAAGGCAAGGCAAGUGGAAUGGAAGCGAUCGAUCGUACGCAAUAUGGUCGUCUUCCAAUGAUUGAGGGGGCAAUGAUUUGGUGACUUGUGAUGAAGCGUAAGCUCCCUCAGUUGACUUCAUUAUACAGUGACUUGUGAUGAAGAUGGUGUACCUACCGUCCUCCUCAUUUCUUUACUCAAUUCUCUAAUUUAUUUAUUCCUUUCUCCUCCGUAUUCUCAGUUGUAAUGUUCUGGGAUUAUGGAACUUUUAACUGAUACACUUUCUAGAACUGAGAAAAUGUGUGAAUGCUGACUUCUUCAAAGGUGUUUAAUGGGCUACCCUUUUUUUCUUUUUUAAUCUUUGUCAUGCUUUUGUUGUUAUCUUUUUAUUAUUAUGUGAAUGUGAAUGUGAAUGUGAAAGAAAAUUCAAAAGUCAGUCUUGGAGGAGAAUCACUAAAACACGCAGAAGAUGAGAAGAACUGAAGAGAAGAUGACUAAAUGAUUGUGGCCCCGUUUGUGGGGUUGUACUAUGUACUGCUAACUUGUAAUUAUAUUAUUAUUUUAUUAUUUAUUAUUGUAAACGAGUCAAGCUCGAUUAGAUUAGAUGCGAUUUUAGCAUGCUAUUAUUACUAAUUACCGUGCAGAUGGAAUCUCUCUCUCGAUUCCAAAUAUUAUAAAAUAUUUUCUAGUGCUUUAAGAAAAAAAGAAAAAAAAACCUUUGUGCUUAAGUUAUAAAAAUGGAACUGAAUAAUUAAACAAUAAACAAAGAACAUAUUAUUAAUGCAAAAUCUACUUAUUAUUUUAUUUUUUUUGACCGUAUGAGUUAGCUUUAUAGUAAAUACUUAUUGCUAUCAUUUUUUUAUUAGAAAAGUUCUCCAGUUCUUGAAGGAGUAAAAACUCUUAAACUUGGAAAAUGUUCAAUUUCAGAUACGGUAAUUAAUAAUAACCUUUUAAUUCAAACGCUACUACUGCUACUAUUUAUUUAGUGAAAAGAUCAUCAAUAUAUUUAGCUUCAUAUGAUUUUUUUUUAUUUUUUAUUUUUUUUACAUAUUUUGCAAAGGAUAUUUCCGGAGUCUGGGAACUUUACAUAGAGAUAAACCUUAAACUAAGGUAAGGAAAAUUGUCCGGACAGAAAAUAAUAAUAAUGAUAAUAAUAAAAACACGGAUCCCCCAAAUCCAAUCCAUUAUUACCACUGCUACAAUAAUACUCUGCUACUUUAUGCACACAUAUAUAUAUAUAUACAUACACAUGUCUGUAUACAUAUACGCUCACACCCAACCCAACGACGGAAGAAUUGCAAUUCCAUCUCUCUUUCUUUCUCUCUUUAUUUCUCUCUGUCAUCUCUCUCUAUUUCUCAGCUCCGCCAGUGCGAUUUGAUUAGUCAUUUUCGCCUUAACGAAAAUAUCUCUCCUGUUCGUGGAUUCAUGUCGGUAUGUAUUCUUCUGUGUGUAAUUUCUUUUUGCCAUAAACGGGAAAAAAAUUUGUAAUCUUGCUUUUGACUAGACAAGAAAGAAACCGGAUUGCCCUAGAUUCUCUUUCUCUGUUCCUUCAACUCUUUUGGUGGGUAUUCGAUUUUGAUGUUUGGAUCAAAUUUUUUUUUUAGUUUUAUUCUUUGAUUGUAUUUGUUCUUCUUUUCUUUUUUGUUUUUUUUUUUUGUUUAUUGUAUUCGCUGAUUAACUUGAAGGGAAACUGUAAAAUAACUAGUAUUUAUUGAGGUUCUAGUUUCAGUAAAUGUCCUUCUUUUAAAAAAAAAAAUUUCCGUUUUUGGUCAUGAUUUUUGCCAUUGGUGAUGGAAGUACUUGUAAAUUUACUCAAUACAAGGAUGAACGGAAGAAUAAGUUGCUUCCUUCAUCUAUUUUAUUGGGUAAACCUGUUAUGUUAGCUUCUGCUGUUUACUUCUUAUCAUGCAAUCAACUGGAAAUUUCUAUCAAUCCUUAUGUACUUAAACAUAUUAAUUAAGUUCAGUGGAAAGAUAUAGCUAGACAUACUAUAAUUGGUGAAGUUGAUGUAGCCUUACCUAACUUAUGGACUCAAAAUGUCUCAUUUGAUGCAUUAAGCAUUUGAAGAGUCAAUCUUGAUUGUAUUGUUUUGGUGACUAUAGCUUAUUCUUUUCGGAACAAAGCCUACUCAUGUGGUCUUCAGUGGUUUUCUUCCCUUAGUUUGCACACAAUAAUGGAAUGGAAUUUCUCUGAAACCAGAAUGCUGAAUUCACUGCUUAUUCUUAUGGAGAUCUUUCUCCUCUACAACUUGGUGCUUCAAAAUGUUGACAAGAUGGUGGAAAUUGGCUUGUGUUUCUUUAGGUCCCUUAGGUAAUAAAACUCUAGAAGUUAUGAAGGCACAUAAAAGCAUUAUAUGUUUGAUUUAUUUUCAGUAGCGCAAGGAUAGAUGUAGUUUAAGUAAUUACUAUUGUCUCAAAUAUCACCUGCAUUUUAGUUGAAAAAGAACGAUUUGUGCUCCUAACCAAAAUUUGCAAAUUGGUUUACCUUUCCUGGUACUGUGCUUGUAACUUUGUAUAGUUAGGAAUUUGUGAAACCUUUGUUUUGCAAAGCAUUUGGCCUUUUCUGAUAUGGGAACAAGGGCAUGGCUGACCAAAAUCUUAAUGCAUUGUGCUUCUGGUAGGAGAAGGGUCGACCAUUGCCAAAGUUUGGUGAAUGGGACGUUAAUGACCCAGCUUCUGCAGAAGGAUUUACUGUGAUUUUCAACAAGGCCAGGGAUGAGAAAAAAACUGGCGGAAAGCCUGAGUCACCAUCAAAGGCAGAUGCUGCAGCUAAACAAGGAGCGGAUCCAGUGAAACCUCAGGGUGUAAGUUGCCUUGAGUUUUUCUCUAAAACUAUUUUCAUGGACAUGAGAGGGUGUGACUGGUAACGGAAAUUCCCCUUGUAAUGGGCAUCUUUGCAUCAAUUUGUUACAAAUGCUGAGAUUUUUGUGAUAGCAUUAGCGUUCUUUUUGCCUUAGCAAAUGGAAAACCAAAGUUCUGAAUCUUUUUUACUUCUUUCAAUUGGGAUAAAUUCAUUUAACAUACUCUAGCUUUCUGUACUUAUCCUACAAAAUAAUUGCAAACAUUUCUAUCGUACAUGGAAGCAUCUUUUUGUCUUAAAAGUUUCAGUAUUCUUUUUAUCAUACUCAUAUCUGUCUUUUGAUAUCUAACUUGCUUGGCUGGUUGCCCCAACUAAUUAGACUGGUCAAAAUUGGUGGAGAGUCCAGUAUACUGUGUGCCUGCUAGUGUGCAUUUCAGCUACAUCAAGACCAUUGCUUGAUGUUGUAGCUUUUGAUUUAUUUCAAAAGAUUUUGGUUUGUUAGCAUUAUAAAAUUGCGCUCUAGUUAUUGUACUGGUGUUGAUGUUGUGUUUGCUUGCAGAAAAAAUGGUUUUGCUGCAUGCAAAGCCCACAUGCAGAAUCUUGACGAGAUUGAUCCCUGUAUCAGCUAAAUAGAGGCGUCAUGUGCAUAAUCAAUCCCACAUUUUAUCUCCCUCUACAUAGGAGUUGCAGGGUGGUAGCAGUCACUGCUAGAGUCCAUUUUCUGUGCUGCAAACUUUGUUGGUGUAGGGGAAAAGAAGAUCAAAUACACUGAAUUCUCAAUAUAUCUAUAUGUUAUAUCUUGUUGGAUUAUUGUUGGGAGUUAGGUUUUCUGUUAACUUUAGUUUCUUUAUUAUGUGGUUUGUAGAGCUGUUGUUGAUCAUCGAUCGUUUUUCUUAACAUUCACCAUUUUAUUACUUGCUGGGUCUUUUUGCGCUGUUUGUAUUGUGGGAUGUGGUGAGCUUUAAGCAAUAUGCUGUAUAUGAACCUUUUACGAAACAGACUCUUGUACUCUUCGUUUUCUUUAGCCUCUCUUUAAUUUCCUUGUUGGCCGCACAAAUUGUAGAGCGCUGGGUUUGAGCUUUAUGGUUAUCCGCCCCCUCCCUCGCGUCACUCAUCAGUUUGUUGAAUUUUUUGAUAAUGGAAAUAUCACCAUGUCAGGCUGGAAGACGUUGGCAGAUUCUUUACCAUUUUUGACGGGUCUAUAACGUGGCUAUGCAUGAUAAGCCCCUCACGGAUCCUUUUUCUGUUCCUCAGUUCAGCAUUCUGGCAAAUUCAUGUUCUUCCUCUCGGCCUCCAGCCAAAACAUAAAUGAUCCUGUGUUAAGCGGACUUGAUUCUGCCCUUCAUAUGGGCUCUUUGCUCAAAAGACAAGCCUGAUAGCUGUUCAAGUUUCCCGUAAAUGAGCCUGCUGAAUGGUCCAAGCCCGUAAAAAUUGGGGCCACUUUCUGUCAUUUCGUUUGAUCGUCUUCCCUGACCAAAAAGUGUCUAAAUCUGCCUACAAUUUCCAUUGACUUGGGCACAGAGCAUCGUCGAUUCGUGGUAUAAUUUGCUACUCAACUAGCUACCACAAACAAAAUAAAUUAAACUGUGUGGACUGUAGCAUGCAUGAGGAACAAUUGCAGGGUUCGCGAGAUUGAAGAACACUCACGGUUUCACAUAAACGUAAUAGGAGUUAAUCACUUCGCAACCGAGAAAAGUAUAGCAACUAUAGCAGCAGUUUAAAAGGUAGGAAUUAUUGUUAAUAACCCUUGUUUCACAUCCCUAAUUUAGUUGCAAGCCAUAUUUCCAAAAUUGAUCUUUAAGUACGAAACGAAUGAAAAGCAAAGGCAAAAAUAGGGGGGCUAUUAUUGGCUAACAAAUUCUUGUAACUAUAUAUACUUCAGAACAACAUGCAUAACUUCUAUGGCGUCCGCAUAAUUCUCAAAAUGGGUAAAAGAAGUCGAUGACUAUGCUAUUACACUGAUGCUAACGAGCAUCCUGACAAAACUCUGAAACAGCUAAACUCUGGAGAUUCCAAGCUUCCGGUCAAAUAAUCGACGCAAGAGGUAAACUUGUAAAACACUCGCAGCAAUCAGAGCCAAUGAUUCAUACAUAGCUUUGUGCAUAACUCUUUUGCCCAUUCCUUCAUUCACUGCAUGUCCACGGAAGAUAUCAAGCCUAUGCUUUAUACCAAGUGUCCAUUUGUAUUGGCAUACAAGUUGGAAAGGCACAUUAAAGAAACUAUUCAACAACGGCAUAUGACUAUUCUAUGGAAGAAAACUAUAAAAAAAAAAAAAAUUGAGAACAAGAGAUUUGCAGUACCUAUUGCCUGGCGUUCAGUUUGAGCUUCUAGCCAAUGCUGUUCGAAUUGAAUGUUAUAUAAAGCCUCCUCUAGCUUGCUAAUAUGCUCAAACAAUGGUUUGAAAUGCUCUGUGAAAUUCACAACAGAUGCAGUAAGUUGACUCUCCCAAUUUGGAUUGAAGAACAAACAGAAGUUAAGAAUGAUUACAGAAUAUGCUCACCAUCUUUUGCAUGCUCAUCAUGAAAUACAAAAUGACCAGCUUGCACGUCAAAGUCUAUGGUUUCAUGAUAAGGAGACUUGUUGGUAAAACAGAACUUGUAAACUCCUUCAUGGUAAGCCACAAACUCAUCCUUCUCACUUGUCUUGUCCCGAAAGUCAUGAACUUGUUUGCCAGUUGGUCCCUUUACCUGAUAUUUCCAGAAAGGAGAGAAAACCAAAUUUGCAUUGAAACAAAACCAGUGAAACUUGAUCUUGCUUUCAUCACGACAUAUUCAACAAAAGAACCCACCACAUUGUUCCCUCACAUUAAUCAAUCAACUAACGUGAUAUCGAUGGCUAGUUUUGUGACAAAAGUUUUGGGCGCACCAUCAGCAACUGUUAGAUGUAUUCUCGUAAGAGCCCUAAAGGACUAGCCUAGUGGCAAGAAUAAACUUGAAUGGCUUCAUCUCAAGAAAUGAGAAUUCUCAGAUAAAAGAACCUUUUUGCUUACAGUAUCCUGUUCUGAAUCCCAGUGGCAAGAGCUUUUGGGGUUUAAACUAACAAUUAUUUGCCAAUCUUCUAGCAACACUUCUCUGCUAUUAUUGACUUUCUAACCAAAGACUCUACACGGACAAUUUUGUUCAAUCUUGAACACUAACCUGAGAAGAUGAUGUUAAUCGAUUACAGACAGGCAUGCACAUUUACAUAAGCAAGAAGGUGUUUAUGUUGUAUGCUGUUAACAGAGUUUAUCAUAUAGAAAAGCAUGUCAAAAUACUAACUGAUAUCUAUCUGUGGUCCAAACAAGUAGGAGAAUAUACAUCUCUCUGGCCCUCAUGCUUGCACAUGCAACCAGCUGCAGAUAGCUAUCACCACAAUCUAUAUGGUGCAGAAGCAUAUAACCUCAUAAGAACUGUCUGUGUGUUGGACUUGGAUAGCAAAUAAUGUUCUCGAAUUUUAACAUAUCUAAAAGUAAACGAGAAGUUAGAUACUUUCAACUCUUUCACUAGGGGAAUUUCAAGGGAAAUGUUUCAUUGCUUCCUCUUAUGUGCUCCAUUUUCUUAAUCAAUACUCCAACAACUUGGAGAAUGAGCAGCAUUACAACUACAAGAAAGACGUAAAAUAUUAAUUCACAUUUCCCUACCACCAAAGAAUAUUUCUCCAGGACGCCUGCACAGACCGUCCUCCAUUAACACAAACCAUUCUAUCUCAGGACAAAUUUUUUAGUAGCAACAAUUAGUCUAUUUUCAGAUAACCAAGUUCAAACUUUGAUAAAUACUUCUAAUAAAGAAUCAACAUUUAGACCACGCGUACAACAGCCAAGUGGUUAACUUAUUAGCAUAAAUUUAACCUAGGAAACACUAGGUUUUCGAUUAAAUUGCCUCCCUUAAACGAGGGGGGGGGGGGAACAGAGAAGUAAGAGCUAAAAUGAAAAUAGGAAAGAUAGAAUUUUUAACCUCAAAAACAUAAACAUCUCUGCUAGGAUACAAAUUAGAAAUUUAAAACGAAUAAAGGAAGAUGAGAAAUACCACAAGAUCAACGCCCUCAUGACUGAAAUGCCACGAACCAUCUGACUUAAUCACCACAAAAGAAUAGUGAACGGUGGCUCCAUAUUCAACCUUAUGGGAUAUGCAUUCUUCUCUGUCUAUCACAAAUCUAAUCCCAAAACAACUACCUAAGCUCGAUACAAGCACCACCGUCACGACCCACCACCAGAUUUUCAUCAUCUUCUGCAUUCAGUUCAUCAAAAUCCAAUCUUUUAAUUCCUAUCAAUAAUACCUACCCGAAGAAGAAAUCAAACAAAGGGGACAGAAUAUUACCGUGUUUGGAAUCUUAGUGAUACAGAUUAACCAAUUGCAGCUGCUGUUUUAACAAGAUUAAGACUUUUUUUUUCUUUGGUGUUUUAUUUUCUUUUCCACUGUUUCAACCUUUUUUCUGGGCGGAGGCUUGGAGUUGGGGGUUGGGACUUGGGACUUGGGACUUGGACUUUGUGAAAUGUACUUCGGUUUGGUGAUCUAGGCUGAAGGAGAUUUGAUGUUAUGCUUAGGAUGCACCAUAAGUACGAUGGUUACUCGGGAUACGUGGUUUUUGCAGAGACUACCAAUCAGAUUUUUCCACGUGGAAAAGGAUAAUAUUAGUAAGUAAUACAUUACUCUUACAAUAAAGAUAGAGAGAAGGAAUUAAUUGCAAAAUAGAAAUAAUAAUAAUAAUGGGAGUGUUUGGAUAGUGUAUUAUUUGGAAUAUUAUUUGAAAUAAUUACUGUAGCACUUUUUGUGAUGUGAUGUAUGUGAGAUAAAAAGGUGGUUGGAAAUAUAAAAAGGUAGGUUGGAAAAUGUGUCUAUGAUGCAAGCGAAAUAUUAUUUGGGAUAAUUGAGGUAUCCAAACAAACCCUUAAUGAAUUCAUAAUGAAUUCUUAGCGGCUUUUACGUCAUAAUGAAUUCUCACUUUAUGCUACUUCACACGUUGAAGACUUGUUCAGAUAAUAAUAAUAUCACUUAGCGGCUUUUGACUUUUUGUUUGAUUUGUUUUACAUUGAAGACUUAUUUCAGUGUGACGUGUUUUUUUGUUCUUUUCUUGAUUUGCCAAACUAGAAUGACGUCGUCAACUCACAGCGAGAAGCAAGAAUUCUUUUUUUUUUUUUUUUUUUUUUGGGUUUUUUUUUUUUUUGGGGGGGGGGGGGGGGGUGUUGUUGAUUGGAGGAGCGCUGAUAGAACAUGGAAUUGACGAGUGUAAUAAGCGAUUAAUAAAGUGUAUGGCUAUAAAAAAAAACUCAGGCAAAGGAAGAUAGCAGACGAUCAACAAAAAUAUGUUACCCCUGACCCAUAUGAAAGUACGAGAGAGUCUAAACUCUCAUGCUUGAAAGCAAAAAAAUUCAGUACAGAAGUGUGAAAGAAGUACAAGCAAGAAGUGCCAAGAAAACAGAUUUGCUAGUUACAGAGCUUGGCAUUCUGCCGUUGUCCUUUCUAAAGAAAAGAGCAUCAAACAAAGGUAAAUUGAUUACAAUGAAAGCCCCGCAAAGAAGAAUCUGCAAAGCCAUGGUUUCCCAAAGAAAGCUGAGAGAUAAAUUGGCCUUCAGUUUCAUUAGUAUUCCUGUCAAGCAAAACAGGUUGAGCAGUGCCAAUGUCGAUAUAAUGAUAAACAUUGGUGACGUGGUUCCAAACUCCAAUAUCUCUUCCCCGUAUCUCUUGGAGGCAUCCUCAUCAGAGACUUUGCUUGAGAUGACAAAUUUCAGGUCAGAAAAGCCUAGCAACUUUAAGAUUGUAUCCACAAAGGCUAACAGGUAAGAGCUGGUUCUUUUGUAAAGCCACAUUCUCUGUUCAUUCCACCAGCCCAGAAAUGUUCCGCCUGACAAAAGAAACUCAACAGCACUGUAUAUGUGCUCCGCGAUGAUAACAUAAGCAAAUGGAAGAAACCAUACGCUUGAGACCUGGAUUCGAAAGAAACAUAUCAACCAUCGAUUGAUAUUUGAUACAAAUUAAGGAAAAAAAGGGUAAGGGGCCGGUUGACUAUAAUAGUACGUGUAAAAAUUAGAGAACUAUGUACCUGUGGAAAUAAGGGAAUGCCUUUGAGUAGAUGAAGGGAAGGGAUGAUGGAGUAAUACAAUACCGCCACGCAAUUAGGAGACCAUAAACAGUAAAUUAAGUACCCCAUUGUAAGGCCAAUGUGAAUCCUUCCCAGUCCAUACCAUGCUGGACUGUACUUUGAAAGCAGAAUUUGUAGAUCACCCUCAGACCAUCUCUUUUGCUGCACAAGUAUCUGAUCCAAUGUCGUCCCUGCAACACCCAAAAAUGCUGGCCUUUCUGGAUUAGGAUAGACUGAUUUCCAUCCUUGGCAUUGAAUGGACAAACCAGUUAUCACGUCUUCAACUGGACACCCAUACUUUAAACCCAUCUGUAUGCCAAAAUAGUUGCUAGUGUCAUAAUAAUGAAUUUGACAACACAACAAAAUUAAUAAUGUGGAUAUGUGUAAGAACAAGACCUCAUGCCCCCAUUCAGUAUUUUGCUCGUAUGUACAGCUUGCCAGGCUCUUAAGUCUUUCUUCCAGUUCAUGCACAUUGCCCAUCUUGCACUCAUUCUGUGUCUUCAAAUCAAUCUUAUAACACUUGCUGUACUUUCUUCCACUCAGGAUUUCUCUUCUCUGAAAGCAUCCACUUCCAAUAUAUGGUGGACCUCCAAAGGCAUCCAAACCGUGGAAUUCCACCUUAAUUACAGAACCAGGGUCUUUUUAAGAUAUUGAAGCAUAACAUGGACUGACUAUACUGGUCAAGUAUGACAGAGUUUAUAAGUAAAUUAUCUACCUCUAUAGUAGCUUAAGAAUUCACGCAAUGGGGUAAUGAAACAAUAGGCAAGGUUAAUGUACACAAGCAAGAACUUCUAUGUUAUUCUACUCACCUCUCUACCCGCUGUCAUUGAGUUAGCGUACAAAUCAUUCUUAGUAAUGUUCUUGAAGAUCUGUGGAAACUGGACGUAAGCAAACUCGUGGCCUUUUUCCUCAUCCAUCAAGAAACAAAGAGCAUCUCGUAUUGAUUGUGAAUCAUUUGAGUACAUAUCACAGUCCACAUUUAGGAUCACUGGUCCAUUGCUGAUCUCGGACGACACCCUUAUCUGCAUUAAGCACAAAGUGUCUAUAAAUAUCUCACACGGGAUUAAUAUUCUAAAAAUCUUUUGGGUAUCUCAUAGGAGACAUGAGGGUAAAAAAUUAGAAAACUUAUGGAGAAGGAUUUUCAAGUCUAAAAUAGUUAUUGAAACCAACCCAGCAGAAGGACCGGGUUGGCGGAUCAGUGGUUCAACUGGCAGGUCAUUGAUUGAACCGUCGGAUCAAACUAUAUAAUAAAACAAUAUACAAUAUAAUUAAAUAAACACAUAAAUUAUAAUAAAAUUACAAAAAUUCUUAAAUAUUAACAAGUCAUAACCUAUUCAUAUUUCAUAGUUCAUACACACAAGCCAUACUCAUAUGUGUUUCUUAGUUCAUGAAUUCAUAUUGAUAUUAUAUACAAACAUAAAUGAUAAAUCUAAGUGUCAAAAAAAGAAAGAAACCCUAAUUCCCAAAUCCCUUUUCAGUUUUUCUCAUCUAACUGUCAAAAAGACGACAAUGACUAUGUUGAUGUGACUGGUCAAAUUAAAUAAUUAGAUAAAAGAUAAUUUCAUAAAAAUUUUUAAAACCCGCCGGGUAUAACGGAUCACAAGUUCGAUCGUUCGCACAAAACGGUUUAAAACGAGUCAUCUGCAACCAUGAUCCAGUUGCUAAACCGGAACGGUUCCAUGAUCGGUUCACCGGUUUGAUCGGUUCAACUUCCGGGCUGGUUUAAUAACUAUAUGUCUAAUAGAUUUGAUUCGUUCAUUAAGACCAAGAAGUGUAUCAAGUAAUCGAGUUACCAAAGCAUUCAUUGCUCCAGCUUUGAAGUUGUGAAAAUGCUCGGGUCGCUUCUCCCUAGCCAAGUACACUAGUGUAGGCAAUUUACAUCCUGCAACAUCCCUUGCUUCUGGGUCGCUUCCAUUAACGAGAAUCUGAUGAAACAAAAUAAGCACCUCUCAGCCAAAUAAGAAGUAGAAAAUGUGUUGCUUUAUUGAUCUGAGUAGACUGUGUAGUCGUAUAACGUAGAACCGAGGUUGUCCUGGCUGGAAAACCAAAAAGAGGGAAAAAAAUGCAAAUGUCUCCUUUGUAAUCUGAUCAUUUUAAUUGGGACGGUUAGUAUGAGUUCUACAUACCUGCAGGAUGGUAUCAUGAUUCCCCCGAGAUGAAGAUGAAUCCCACAUAGCAAAGCCUUUGUGUUCUGAUUUAUCGGGUAUUUGUCCUAGUUUGUUUGCAAGCAGAACCUUGUUCUCCAGUUGUUCAUAUAAUUUCUGCAAUUUCAUCAGCACAAAAUAAGAAGGCUAAUUAACUGAUGAGUUCCAAAUUAAUAGUGUCAGGCAUGCUGAAGAGCAAUAUAUCGGUAAUGCAGCAUAACUGCAUGAACAGUCUCAUGGCAACCAUGAGACACAACUAGAGAUUUUUUUUUUUUUUUGGACGGGGCUUACAUCUGCAUCUUGUGUCUUAUGUUUUGUUAUCAAUUGGCUCUUUAAUAGCUAUAUCAUGUCAUCAAUAUCAUAACUAAGGGAACUAAGUUGGUUGUGAUUGAGUAUAACUUCCAUCUGGACUUCCAUAUGAUCCAAGGUACCCCUAUAUAUGAUAGGAUUAUCAUUUUUUUUUCCUGUGGUUAGAUCAUUAUAUAUGCUGUGGCUGCCUAAUACUCCAACAAUGAAAUUGAUGUGUCGAAGCUCCUAAGGAAAUAAAUAUGAGGCAGGCCUAAUUGCAUUAUUGCAGUUGAAAGUAAAUUAUAUGAGCCCUGUGGACUUGAUUUUCCAGGUAGUCAUUGUCAAUGGUUCAAGGACGAAUAUGUUUCUUACCAAAUUCAAAUCUUUUUUGGACUUCUUUCAUUAUAAAAUUUAUUAGGACAAACAAUCUUGGUAGCUAGCUCGCUUGCUUUAUAUAUUUAUGAAAAAGUUGAACUUUCUUUUCAGCAUCAAGAAAACUGCAGUAUUUCAGGAUAUAUUAUCCUCAACUUGUCCACUGCCGUACUUAAUUGACCCAAACUAAUCAAUUGAAAAUCGAUAUGAAACUUAGCUUUUCUAUUUCUAGGUGAGAGAGACAUGGUUUCAAUGCAGAGCGGCCAAAUAGUUUUCCUCAGAAGUCAGAACUAGUUUGGUGCAUUUACCUUGAUUGAUGCAAAGUCUUUGGUAUGGUUUGCAUCCAAAAUUCGGGGAUCUGAUUCAAAGUAAGCUGCAGGAGACCUUGGCUCCACCUUGUAUUUCUUGCAAUAUGGUAGCCAAUGCUUAGAGAAAUAGGAAGCCUCCAGGAGUGCAUGGAAGGUAAGCUCCGAGCCACCAUCAUCAGAGAGAUAAACGCUGAGUUUCUCUGUUGGAUAAUCAUAUGCCAUUACAGACAAAACAGUAUUGAUCACCAUGAUUGGUGGCUCAACAGCAGGAUCAGCUGUGCAAACAAAUAUGUCCACUUUAGGCAGCUCAUUCUCGAACCUGCAAAGCACAUAGAAAAAACUCUGAAAUCCCACAAGACAGAACAUUCAAGACUCUAAAUUUUAGCGGUAUGUGAUCAUUGACGAAUCGACAAUCAUAAGAGUUUGAAGAACAAUGGGAACAAGAAGCCAAACCAAAAGCAUAGAGGAAGGAGCCAUCACCUACGGGAUAGCCUGUCGGUAAAGGUACGACGAUAUACAAGACUCCAGCGGACGGAUUGAGUGAUGAACCAGUAAAGGCCAAACCAAAUUUCAGCUCCAAACAUUCCAAUCCAAGCCCAUCUCCCAUCUUCUUGGGAUCUUGGGAUGUGACUUGCUCUAUAAAUCCAAAUCAAGAUAAUCCCAACAAAUAUGGAAGUAGCAAACAGUCUAUGAACUAUCCUACCCUUCGCCUUCUCCGUCUCAAAAAGAGGAAUAUACUCACUUUUACCAGUACCGCCACUUCCCAUUUCUGUUGUUUUCAAUAUCUCUUUCUUCACUGGUUUUUCGAACUUUCAGCUCUAUAUAUGUAGCAUACAUUAAGUUUCUAAUACCGCAGUAUUGGGCAGGCCGGGAGUUUUCAAAUAUUUAAUUAAAGCGCAGAGAGCCAUUUGAAUUCUUUGCCAUUAUAUGGAACUACUAUUUAUAUUACGCAGUUUUAUAAGACAGGAACAACCGCACACAGUUGACGAAGGCUGCUGGUGGGUUCCACUCCUACUGUAGCCUACUUUAGGGGACCCAUUGCCAGCAAUUAUUGCAGUGUACGUUACGUAAUGGAAUGCGCUAUAAGAGCUUGGGCUUGGGGAUGGCUGCCGGUGCCUGCCACAUAUAAAUCACUAGUGUACACGACUGGGGAGAGAAUGAAUUUGAUUGGAUUAGGAGUUAGGACACGAGUGGAUAAAAACCUGCAUGGCCUGAGACCGAUCCUCUGUGCCACUGUUCGGUGUCAAUCUCAUUUAUCACGUGAUAGUAGAAGAAAUUUAAAUAAACAGCACAUGACAAAUUAAAUAAAUAAGAUACUUGACAUAAAUAUAGAAGUGACAUUGAAUUAUCACCGGAAAAGUGACACUGAAGAUCCCGUGUGGAGACCUGACUCCCUGAUUAAACAAAAUUGUUGGUAUGAUUUAUUGUGAAAUUAUCAGUAUCAACAGGCACAAACAAUUUUGUUAUAGGAGUACAGUAUUUUAAAUUAAGGGUUUUUAUAACGAGUGUUGAUGAGCACUCUUUCAGAUACUUGUAUGACAUUUAAAUUCCCAUAUGUAAACACACACUCCAGACUAAGUUAGGUUCCUCUCCGUUAUACCCAAAUAAAUAUAAUCAUUUUAUUAUUUUUAAAAAUUAAGAACAUCCAUAUUAUACUUCUCUAGCUGUCUAAAGUAUGUACAAAAAUUGAAAUUAAGUUAGUUAAAUUUUAUGUUGGAUCAAAUUUUACAACUUUCAUCGUAACUUUAACCUGUUUUGCCCCGUCAAAAUGUUUUGUGCAAAUUGAAAAGCAAAACAUUCAUAAAAGAAUUUGAUUUUUGAGUAUGUUGAUUUAAUUGUGGAAAUAAAAUUACUAACACAAACAGGUUAUUGUGAAAAAUUCAAUUGUAUAAAUAUAAAAAAAAAAUGUAUAUAGAUAAAUGGAGAGAAAAAUAAUGGAGCGCUUAAAUUGUGACACUUUCUCGAAUUAACUUUCUCUUAUCGGAGUGCCUUAUGGGCGCAGGUUAGCCGAACCAUAAUUUAAAUUUUGAUAAGUAUUGUUAUAAUCAAAUACUCCUAUGUAAGUUAUCCGAAGAGAAAGCAAGUGGAUCCUUUUAAUGUACUAAAUUUUAACGUUUAGACAAAGGUACAAAAACAUCAAGAUAACGAGUUUAAUUCCUAUUCUUCUUUAAAAUUUUUUGAAAACCUUUAAAAUUAUUAAGUGUGGAGUAUUUGUUCGAUUUAUUCUGAUUUGAGUAAUCUUUGAGAUUGCUGGACUCAUUUACUGCCCAAUGUCAGGACGCUGUGAUGAAUCACCUCAUGGUUACUUUGCUUCACACUAACUUAUACACAUCAUCAAAUUCGCAGGCACACAUCCUACUAUAAACUCAGUAGUGUGAAAUUUUCUGUUACCUUUUUUAUCUUUUCCUUUCUCCAUUUUCUAAACACGGAGUUUUCUACCCCUUUUUGCAAGUGUUCUUAAAAUAUCUUCUUCGAGGUUUUUAUCAGAUAAGCACUUGUUCCGGAUUCGAAUUAACGAUCUGCUUCAUAAUUCCUUCCAUCCUUAAAAACGUUUAUCCGUCGCAUAUAUUUCCGCCACAAAUUCCCUCUGCAUCCUUUUGGUAGACCUACGUUCACGACCUGUAUAUACUAUCGCUUGACAAGCCAUGAUACAAAUCGCAAAGUUGAUGACUUUUUCUCGUCUUUUUUGCUACAGCCGAUACACACGCAGUUCUUACGAUAUCACAUUUUUAUUAGAACAAAAUUUUUUAUUCUUACCAUAAUAAACCAAUGCAAGAAUUAUUUGCGUUGCACAUCACAUCAUCUGCAUUCCCCAUCUCAAAGGCCCAAACGUAUUUGGAUUAUAUCUACCACAGAGGCCCCAGUUGACUAGUCUUUGUCUAACAGAGCGUCGCAGUCCACUUUUUUUUUUUUUUUUUUUUUGUUACUUUUCAUCAUAGACUAUUGAAGUGAGGCCGAAAGUCCAACCAAUGACUUAUUCCUCAGGCUCAGGUCUCGGUAUGCAUUUUUGGAGGAUGGCGUCAUGCUCAAAAUUUUCCCGUUUCAAUGCAAAUUGCUCAACCUUGCCCCUUUCGUCAAAUCCUAACAACUGAAGUGGGGUGUUUAAACAGAGUAUUAUUUGAAAUAAUUAAUAUAAUAUUUUUUUUUAUAAUGUAACAUAUGUAAAAUAAAAAAAAUAUUAAAAAUAUAAAAUAUAUAAAUUAUAAAAUAUAUUUAUGAUGCAAACGAAAUAUUAUUUUAUAAAAUUGAGAUAUUCGAAUACAUAGUAUCCGCUAAUACACUUUAAUUCAACUAGUAAAAAUAGAUCACUACUUAACAAAACAUCAUUGGGUAAUUCCAUUUUGUCCCCUCAAACUAUACACGGAAUCUCACUUGAAUCCCUGAACUUUAAAAUUGGACAUUUAAGUCCCUAAACUACAAAAUCUAACCCACUUAAAUAAAAUCCGUGACGGAAUCCAAAAAAUUGACAGUAGCUCAAGGAUGUGGGGGGCACGCUCCAUUAGUGUGUAUGUGUAAUUGUCAUAAACCAAAAAAGUAGGGAUAUAAAGGUAUUUUCACACUUUUUUUUUCAUUUUUUCUUUUUCCUAUUCUUCUUCAUCCCUUAUCUGCCGCCACUGACAUCUCCAGUCCUAUGCUUUUGUUCAAUGGCCUCCAAGCAUUUUUCAUCUUUCAUUUACCAAUCCAAAACUGUUUCAGUCAAAUCCCACUUCAUAUUCCAAAUCUUCAACCGUAUUCUAAAAAUCGUCGAAGUCUCACAAAAAACGUGUCUAAUCUGACCACUAAAUUUCUUGUCAAAUUCACUUCCAUGAAAUUCCUUUUUGUUGAAUUCGAAUUGUUCUUGGGGCGGCUGUGAUUUCUGCGAGAUCUGCAGUAGUACUCCUAAGGGACUGGUGGUGAAGUGGAAGAUAGACUUAGCAUUUGCUAGCGUCAUCCUGCUAUUUACAAGAACCCUGCUUCAUUUCUUACCAGAAUCCCACGAAAAUGUUGUGGUCAAAGACUCCAAGAAGCAAGGUGGGUGUAACGACCCCACCUCCCCCUAAGGCGUACCAAAGGGUUCGGCGGACCGCCUGCCCAGCUCUCGCCAGGACUCACUCACUAUCUCAAUCGAGUCAUGUACACACAUCCAUAAACUAUAAAUAACAUUCACAAUUCAAGCUUAUAAUUUACAUUGAUAGAAAUCGAGGUACAAAGUCUCAAUACACCAAACUAGUUCAAAACGUAUACAAUCCAAGUACAACAUGUUCCAUUCGAGGAAUAGCGCGAGUACAAGACCAAAAGUCAAAAGUCAAAACAAAAGGCUACGCUAGUCUUUUACAAGUCUCACGCGUCACUCGUACCCCCUGUAAGGAAAACAAAUAGCGUGGUAUGAGCUAAAAGCCCAGUGAGGUUCCAAAUAGCAAAUUGACCAUUAUUUAUAAGUACAAGUUUUCGAUAUAGGAAAGUAACGAGCAUGAAGAAUUCAUAAAAGUGAGCAAUCUCAAAAUGAGCGAGUGUAAAAGUUUUCAGAAGACACUAUAAUCCAAUAAACAAUAAUCAUUCCAAAGCAUAAGGAUACAGAUGGCUCUCAGGAGCCAACUUCCAUUCAUCAUCAGGAGCUUGAUCACAUAGUAGUUGACACUCCGUCAACUUUCAAGUAAAGGAACCAAUCCAGUAGAACACCACUUACACUACUCUCCGUCCACCAUUCACACCCCCUACUGGGCCCAAAAUCCUCAAUAAACACGGGUGGUAAUACUCGAGUAUACCGUUUAGUCGAGGAGAUAUCACUCCACUCGACAAAGCAAGAGACCCAGGGCUCGUUACCCAAUCGACCAAGCCCUUGCCGACCCGACUAGAGUAACUCGCCACAGGGUGUCUGGAAUUCCAGGAAGUGCGCGCAUCAUAACAAGUAUGUCAAGUCAAUUGCAACAAUAAACAAGUGUAUAUCAUGUAAGGGCAAGUGCGAUAAAGUACACUCUUGCCCUAACAAUUCACGCAUGUGACAUGUAAUCAUAUUGGCACGUAUCAAGCACAAGUAUCAAGUUCAAUUCAGUAUUUGAAAGCACUCACCAAAAGAUAUAGUGCUUUUACUGGUCACUUUCAGGUUAUACUCCGAGUUCGGAGUCCAAAUCUGCGAUAAAACUCAAUUUGAGAACUUUGAAACAUGACUAGAGUUCGAAACUUAGACGUUUCGUUCAAUAAGAAUCAAGAAAUUGAAAUUCACUCGGACAGUAGUCAUGAAACACUUGCUCGCUUUUUAAACGAUAAAAUUUUGUAACAUUUAUACUUGAAAUUGUCAUGUGAGUCGAGAGUACAAGGAAAACGUACUUCGAGCAAUCAUUAUUUCAUUUCCCAAGGGUACAAGUUUAGUCAAGUCCUAACGUUUAACACUCAAGAAACAUAAUAGCCAAAGUCCUCGCUAGUUCAAGUAUUAAGUACUUAACCUUCACCCAAGUCGAAAAUAUAGCAUUCUAGCCCUCGAGUAAAAAUUCGGGCAGCAUGCCCUUUGUGUUUACCUAAUUUUCCAGCCAUUUAGGCUUCAUUGUUUUUCUCAAACACAACCCAACAUCAUACAUAUUAGCAAUUUAUGUCAAGAGCCGUUCCAUAGGCUCACAAUAUCGUAAUAACAAGAAUUACAAUGAUAACAAAUGCAGAAAUUCAACUUAGCACAAGACAGAUUUGACGUACGAAUGCGGAAAUAACUUAUCCGAGGCUACGCUUAUCGGAUUAAGACGCAACCUAUGCCGUUUCGAACCUAAGAUACAGAGCUACAAUGUUCAUGAAGGUCACUUAGUCCAGUUUCUAAUGUAACUUGGUCAAAUUCUCGAAUUACUAAACCAGAAACCAAUUCGUCGGCUGUUUAAACGCAGAACACUGUAAUGGUCAUAACUCAGUGUACACAAAUCCGAAUCAGGUGUUCUUAGAGGCAUUUUAAAGAUAAUUCAGAACACUACAACUUUCAUGUUUUGGCCCAGAGCUAAAUCAGAAUGGAUCCUGGUCAAAAAUCGUGAUAAACUAGACUGAACUGAAGAAACGGACUGCUGGGAAAUACUUAAAACAGUAGGGGUAUUUUGGACUUUUCACGUUCUGCGUUGCUCCGAUUGAGCUAAAAUUUUGUAGGCACCUAUAAAAUGCCAUUCUAUACAACUUUUCUUCUUUGACCUAAGGCCAAAUCAGCCUCUAACAUACAGAUAAAAAUUCGGACAGAAUGUUGAGACAAUUUUCCAGAUUUUGGAAUUUUUGAGUUUCUAUUGCAACUUUCCUUAAUUUCUUGGUCCAAUCACUACCAAAACACCAUAUAACACCUCAAUUGCAACAUAUAAGCAUCAUAUAAUAAAUUGGGGCAGAAUUUCCACAAGCCCUAGUUCAUCAAAUAAAUUGGGGAAAACUACUAAAACAUGCUCAUCAUUCAUAAUCUCACCAUAAAAUCAAGUUACUAAGCUUAAUUAAACAAGAUUAGAAGUGAAACUUGGAGAGAUAAACUCUCUUACCUUGAAUAAAAGUCACCAAGAGUAGCACAAGCUCUCCCCUUCAAGAAUCACACCACAACUCACUAGCUAGUCACUAGAAAACAAGUUUAAUCGGUUCACUUCGCUCGAUUCCUCACUUAUUUGUUGGAUUUAGAGAUGAAAUGAAAGAUUUUCCCUUGGAGUUUCUCUUCUUGUUGUUCUAGGCCAGCAGCACCCAAAAUGAAGAAGAAAAAUGCUAAGUGUUGGAGUUAAAUGGUUGGGGUUUGUCUUGGGUAAGAAGCCAUGAGGUGGUGACAAGUGUCACCACCACCACCUCUUUUUUUUUCUCUCUUUCUUUCUUGCCUUUCUUGGCCACUAAUUUCGGUCAACCUUGCUGCAAUUUAAGAAGAUAUUAUGUACAAAAGUCAACAAACUUGUUGGGUAAGAAAAAUGGUGGUCAAGCAGUGCGUUCAAUCGGUAAUACGCGGGACCCGCCGGAUCGCGCCGUUUUUCUUAAAAACUCACGUACUAGGUUUUUCACUUCCCAUUCACUAACCUUAUACCAUUGCCACUAGUCACAUCUUAUUUCUCACUUAAAAGUCACUUUUAAUCCCCAAAUUAAUUCUUACUCUGUACCGAAAAUUCAUCCGGUUAAAAUUCGCGAAAACCCUAAUUUCGCUCCAAACUUGAAACCGAAGCGUAAAACCCUAUUUUCUAGGUUUACUUACACUUAGAGUGAAAUAUUUGGGUAGUGGCCUUUGAUAAAUACUAAUUUUCAAAUAAAAGGGUAUUUUGAGGAAAAAUACGAGGAAUUUGCGAGUCCUCACAGUGGGCUUAUUGGUGCUGGUGGCGGUGAGCUAGUUGAUGUCAAGAUAAUUAAGGGAUUUAGUGUCAAAAACUUUUCGGAUGGAAAGGCAGCCAUCAAAUACUGGUAUGAGCCACUUCUUAAGCUGCCAUAAUUUGGAUUUGGGAUGAGGAGGGCUAGUCUGAUAAGGUACAAGCAAUAUUGGGUUGGUGAUGGGUAACGAAGAUGAUGAUCUCUUGGUAGCUAGAGCAGCUUUUCAAGGGGAUGAAGAAAAGGUUUCUGGUGAACCUACAGCAGAAUUGUUAAGCAAGAAGAAUUGUGGAAGAGUCUCUAAAAACACCUCCACUGGAGGUUGCAGGAUUGGAGUUUCCUGGAGGAGAUUCGGAUCUGUCCUGGGUUCUCAUCAAAACUUGCUCCACCAUGUCCUUAUCUGCACUAGCAGACUAGCUCACCUAGUCCAACAUUCUAAAGCUGCAGCCAUGGCUUUUGUACAAGUAGAACUGGAACCAAAAGCCUAAUAGCAUCAGUAUCAUGCCGUAAGCAUAGACAUAUAAGAAUAGAAGCUUUUGAAGAUUGUUAAAGUUUUGUCUUUUGGAGAUAUCUUGAUAAUAGUAGCAAUAGGAUUGGAGCCGUCAGUGGUGGCAGAUGAGGGAAGAAGAAGAAUAGGAAAAAGAAAAAAAAGAAAAAAAAAAAAAGGAAAGAUGAGGGAGAAGGGAGAAAGGGAGUAAAAUUACCUUUAUGUCCCUAUUUUUUUGGUUUAUAACAAUUACACGUAGACACUGAUGGAGCGUCCCCCCCCCACAUCCUUAAGCUACCGUCAAUUUUUUGGAUUCCGUCACGGAUUUUAUUUAAGUGGGUUAGAUUUUGUAGUUUAGAGACUUAAAUGUCCCAUUUUAAAGUUCAGGGAUUCAAAUGAAAUUCCGUGUAUAGUUUGAGGGGACAAAGUGAAAUUAACCCAAAUAUCAUGUAUUCGAAUUUUACUGUCAACGUGAGAAUAAGGGUGUUGUGUUAGUAAUCUAUCCGUUAAAACCCUUACAAGCGACGCAUGGUCUCGGCAAAUAUAUCUUGAUCAAUAAUGAUGAUUCAAACCGUACCUAUCAAACUUUUUAUUAUUCAAAAAUAAAUAAAGUGCGAAACCAAACGCAGCGUGCAACUUUUGACCAUGACAUCCUCCCGUGGGGCAGUUGACAAUGAUUUAUUUUUUUUUUUUUUUUUGGGUCGGCUGAAACUCAUAACCCACUAAACAAAUUCAACAUUGGCAACUCGAUCGGUUGUCAGGCUGCCUUCUGCAUGUUACAGUUUCUCCAUGUUCAUUUUACUACGUUACAUUCCAAGAAUAAACAUUCUUUACGAGCUCAAAAUGUCAAGCUCAAACUCGAGCUCGAAAAUAAAAAAAUAAUUAUUACUUUUAUUUUUAAAAAUAAAAAAUGAUUAUUUUAUUUUUAAAAAUAAAUAAAAUAAUAAUUUUUUUAAUAAAUAGUAAAAUAUUAAAAAUAUAUAUAUGUAAUUUCAUUAUUAAAAUAAAAAAUAUAUAUAUAAUCAAGCUAACGAGCUAAGGAGUUUAAUGUUUUUGAGCUCGACCUAAUUAGCUCAAGCUCAACUUGAGUUCGAUAUUGACCGAUCUCGAUCACGAGCAUAUCAAUUCGUGAACAGCCCUACUCUGAUACACAUGGGGAAAGAAUUUUCACGUCUUACAUUGAUUUGGAAGUAUACAUGAUACACCCAUUGUGCUAGAUAGGUGAUUAUUCAAAAUUUUCAUAUCCAUACAUAUUUAGUAUCAAUUUUUUUUUUGUAAGAAUUUUCACGGCUUACAUUGAUUUGGAAGUAUACAUGAUACACCCAUUGUGCUAGAUAGGUGAUUAUUCAAAAUUUUCAUAUCCAUACAUAUUUAGUAUCAAUUUUUUUUUUGGUUACCAAGGAGAGCUAAGCAGCUCAAUACAUAGAUACUAUGCGGGGUGGUAACCCCCAUGAUAUCCAAAUUCAUCCAUCUCCAAACUACAUUCGGUGGAUUCUGUAAACAAUACAACCCUGGCUCUUUAUUGAGGCUAUCUUUAGCUAAGAAAUCCGCACUAUUGUUUCCUUCUCGCCAAAUAUGCGAACCACUUACCUCCCAUUCCUUGUGUCUCCACUAAUCAAUUUGUUUUAGCAUAUUAGAGUAAGGGCUCAAUUCAGGUGUCUUGUCCAGAAGCAUAGUUGCAGCUUUUGAGUCUGUUUCUAUAAUCACUCUCUUGUGUCAUAUUUAGUAUCAAUUAUCUUCACUGUCUGCUAUGCUAAUCAGCUGGAUAAUAACAGCAGUGUUUGUGAUGCAAGCAAAAUAGCAGCUUAACUACUACUAGUAUUAAGAAAACAACGAUGAUCUUCAGGCUAACACAAACUAAGAACAGGCAAAAUUAGCUAAGACUACAACAUCGUUAACAGGCAAGCACAGACCAUGGGCCUAAUUAGAUUAGCAGCAUCCACAACACAAACAUAUAGUUCCUAGAUUUUACCUCUAGCCUUCUGGUCCCCUCCCUUGAGCAUAAUUUGACAACCAGAUAUGCGUUCAAUUCCAAAGUGUAAGGGAUAGCCCGAUUGAUCAACCCUCAAGUAAGAUCAUUUCAGCACAUACAGGCAAAGAAGAGCCAUGUCCGUCAAGCAGAGCAGUCUGUUCUUGCCCUUUGCAAUAUUAAACCAAGGAAACUAUAUGAACAGCUUUCCCCAACAAAUCUCAAGCAUGAAAUUUAAUCACUAAUGAACCAACACACAUACUCCUAUAAGGAAUUUGUGUUGUAAGAUAUAAAGGACCCAUAAAAAUGAUACACAUGAAUGCAUUAAUCAAUCUAAACAACCAUCAUCCUGAUGACAUAUAAGGCACAAUAAUAUUUUGUAAGAGAACCAAAAUCUGGUGCCAAUGGACUUGCUUACAGAUAACCAACAAGCAAAAAUAAAAUGGUACUACUAAAUACGAAAAAAGUUGAAAGAUGAUCCCCAUUACUAACAAUAAUGGCAAUUUCCAUUAAUGUUUACCAUAAGCUGCAUGAAAUACGCAGCACAAUAUCAGCUACCAAUCCUUACAUUAAAGACCCCCUUAUACAUACACAAGGGAAGCAACCACAAUUUUUACAGUACAAUACGACCCAGGCGAAGACCAUACUUCGCCUUGAGAAUGCACCAUCUUUCACACUCUUAUGUACAACAAACUGGAAAUUUGGUAUAACCCCAAUUCAAGGAACAAAACACCAAACACAAACAGGUUAUCACUAUCUGAAGUCUGAACUAAACCAGCAUGAAAUUCUUCUCUCUUUUUUUAUUAUUCAUUUUCUAUUUCAGAUAAUUCAAUAGCAGCACUCAGGGCAACGAAUCAAGCCGUUCUCAUUGCACUCCGGGCACCGCUUAAGUUGCUCAUCAUCCUCGUCAAAUAUUUUACGACUUCCGCUACAAUUUGAGCAGGGCACGAACCUGGCAUCCCCACAGCCUUCGCAAAUAUACCCUAACCCAGGCUUUACUGCUCGAAUAGGCAAUCCUUUGAGCAUUUUGGCGAGCUCGCCCGCCUCAUUCAGCUGCCUCACAACAUCAGCUCCACCAAUAUACUUCCCCUUGACAAACACCUGAGGUAAACUCACGGUUUUCUCCCCCAAAACGCUCUGUAAUUCCUUCCUGUACGCGUUGUCCAUGGAAAUAUCCCUCUCGUCUAAAUUUAUGCGAAAGCCCUUGAAGAUCAUCCGAACAGCGCAGCAAUCGGCGUAGGUUCUGCGGAUUCCCCGGAGGCUGGUGAAGUAAAUGACAACUCUGUCCUCGGUACCAGGCAGCCGGAAAUGGGGGGGAUCCAAACUUAAGCUUUUCGCGGGUCUGGAAGAGGAGGACAAUGAUGAUGAGGAUAAGGAUGAUGGCUGGGGUGAUAAACUAGGGGAAGAUUGCGACGGGGGUUUUUCGAAGAGGGAACGAAGCUUCUGAACCUUACCCCUCAACGAGUUUCCCGCCGAAGCCAUUGAGCCAAAAGGGGAACUAUACAACUUCUUGACGGAGCCGGUGCGUUCGAGAGGGAGGAGGGGGGUUUUGGUAAAUUCGUACGCUGGGUUUGGGUUGUGCAGCGUUAAGGAUCGGUUGAAUCUGGAGGUAGCUUUAGGAUUUUCAGAGAAAUCAUAUUUCUGAUCAUCAUUGUUGAGAAAGGCCAUAACUACCGAUUGGAAAUGAUGCUCCUUUUUUUUUUUGGGCCUCAAAAGAUAUUAGGGUUCUUCUUUACUAAAUUUUACCCCAAAAAUAAAAAAAAAAAAGGGCAAAGAUCGAUGAUAUCGAUCGCUAAUCGAGAAAAUUUAAGAAAGAAAGAAAGAAAAAAACAAAAGAAUGAUAUAAGACCAACCAAGGUCGGAUUGUUGCUGGAGAAAGGCGGAGGAGGAGGUGAGAGGUGAGAGGUGGCGGAGAUGGGCGGUGUUUGAUGUUUUUUCAGCUUUCGGUCUAUUUGUUGGUGAAAUGAUGGAAGGUAGAGAAAAGGUGUACUUUUCUGAA
rnacentral:lncRNA from 1 species